UUUGUUGGCCUUUUUCAUUAGGUACUUUCGGAUUCCGAAUCUGUUCGGUGGCUAAACCAUGCUGUUGAAAAAAUAUGGCCUAUUUGUAUGGAACAGAUUGCAUCACAGAAGAUUCUGCUUCCCAUCAUACCUUGGUUCUUGGCUAAGUACAAACCUUGGACUGCUGUAUGAAUUUUGCUUCUCUUAGUACUACUGUUUUAUUGGCUAUCUCUGGAAAAUUAGUACAUAAAGAUUCUGAUUUAGUAAAAUGUUCAAUUUAGUGCAAGAAUUAUGAACAAUUUGUACUUUUUCAAGACUUGCAUUAGCUCCUAUGAAGUUACUUUCAAUGACCAUCAGAUGAUUAUUUUUUGAUCCAUUUUGGGUGUGUUUGACUGAAAUGCUGCUAUACCUGCAGAAGAAAGCUGUGGUUCAGCAUUUAUAUUUGGGAAGAAAUCCACCUUUGAUCACGGAGGUGAGAGUUCUUCGUGAAUGCUCUGAUGAUGACCACUUGGUAUACCUUCUCCCUAACUCCUCUCUGUUGGCUAUGAUUUCUUGUUUCAAUUUUGCGGAUGAUAGAACUUUCAAUUUCUCGUUGCAGGUACUGGAGUUGGGAAUGAAUUUUCUCACUGCUGAUGACAUGAGUGCGAUUCUUGCUGUGAAACUACGGAAAAGACUGGGAUUUGGGAUGUGGGCAAAGUUGCAUGUAACAGGCAUGCAUGUUGAAGGAAAGGUAUUAAUAAAAAUGGAAUGGUAUUAGCUAUAUUCAAUUUGCACAUUAAAAGAGUUUAUAGUCAGUCCUAAGCAGUUGUUAAUCGGGGGAAUUUGCAUGGCAUCGCAUAGUUCGGGCCCCAUCCUGCCCCCUGCAAAUUCUUAACUUUAUUGACUUACUGUAGUUAACUGGCAUUUACUCCGUGUUUCAGGUUUUGGUUGGGGUGAAGUUUAUCCGGAAGUGGCCUUUCAUUGGUCGUCUGCGAGUAUGCUUUGCUGAGCCUCCAUAUUUCCAGAUGACUGUGAAACCUGUCUUUACGCACGGACUUGAUGUUACGGAACUUCCAGGGAUUGCUGGAUGGCUUGUAAUAACUCUUUUUCCUGAAAUAAAUAUUCAACUUAUAUUUUAUGUUCUUUUCCUUCCUCUCAAUCUUAUUGUGUAUCCUCUUUUGCUUGCGUAGGACAAGCUUCUCUCGAUAGCAUUUGAGCAGACACUUGUUGAGGUUAGUUUUCCUUAACUCUAAUUGCCAUACCAUGGCAUAAAUUCCAUCUUAUAUUCCACAAAUGCAUAUCGUAGUUUUAGAAUGCACUUACAGGUUUAAGUUACCCGCAGCUUUCUUCUCUAUCGAACUUUAGCUCCUAAUAUUUGUUUAUUUUGCAGCCCAAUAUGCUGGUUGUGGAUGUUGAGAAGUUUGCUUCACCCAUUCCAGGUGAUUUUUUCAUUAUUUUCCAGUAUUUCGUUGCUCUUCUAUUUUACUUAUAGCUCUUUUCGGGUCAUUAACUCAUUACCAGUUCAGCUGUUUUCACGAGUCAAUUUUUCUCAUUCACCUUUUUGUUGGUUCUGUCCGACAGAAAAUUGGUUUUCUGUCGAUGAGAAGCAACCUAUUGCUCAUGCCAAGGUUGAAGUUAUUGAAGGAUCCGACAUGAAACCUUCAGAUUUAAAUGGUCAGUUUUAAAUCCAUUAUCUUACUUUUUCCAUCAUGUAAAAUGCAUGGUUUUAUGGUCAUUGAUUGGAUAUAAAAUUUUCAGGAUUGGCUGAUCCAUAUGUGAAAGGGGCACUUGGCCCGUAUAGAUUCAGGACUAAGACGCACAAGAAAACUUUGUCUCCGAAAUGGCACGAGGAAUUUAUGAUUCCCGUCUGCUCCUGGGAGGCUCCUAGCGUACUGAUUAUUGAAGUUCGUGACAAAGACCAUUUAUAUGAUGAUAGCCUUGGGUUUGUCUCUGAAUCUCUAAAAUAACCAUAUUGCCUAUUUUGCUUUUUGAGCGCCACUGCGUUUGCAGUUUCUGCACUAUGUCGACAACCCUUUCCAAUACGCAUUAGCUCAUCUUAGAAAUAGUGCCCUUUUAGAUGUUUUUGAUCCGUGAUAUAUGACACCACUAUUUGUUUUUCAAAUUCCUUAUGACUUGUUUAAGACUCUCAAAUGGUGUACUGAUUUGCUGUGUUUACAGUAAGUGCUCGGUAAAUAUUACUGAACUUCGGGGUGGCCAGAGACAUGACAUGUGGUUGCCUCUUCAAAAUAUUAAAAUGGGAAGACUGCAUCUCGCAAUAACUGUUCUCGAAGAGAACGCUAAGGUAAUUUAUUCUAUGAUCCACAAUAAACUUGGAAAGUUUUAAAUUGUAACCUUGCGUGCAAAUUAUGAUUAUGAGUUAAAAUGUGCCGAGAAACUUAAAAAGGAUGUGUGGACAGUUUACGCAGGUAAGUGAUGCUGCUGCAGUUGAUGCUUUUGACGAGGAAGCCUUAAACAAGGAAGAUAUACAAAACUCAUUUGCAAAUAUAGAUGUGAAUAAUGGUUUAUUCUCGCCUACGUCUUCAAAGAAAUCUCCAACCCUGCCGGAUCAUUUAGAACCGAUAGAUGUUGAAGGACAAGAAGAAACUGGGAUAUGGGUCCACCACCCCGGAAGUGAAGUGUCACAAACUUGGGAACCUAGGAAAGGGAAGGGUAGAAGCCUUGAGACACAGGUUCAUAAAGUGCCUAAUAGUUCAUUUGGCAGCACCAUCUCAGCUGCAUCUGGAUCCUCUAAAAGUGAUGACAGCAGCGCCGAGGAAAACCAUAAUCCUAAGAAUCGAGUCAACACAGUUAAGCAGGGUUUACGGAAGAUCGGUUCUGUAUUUCAUAGGAGUCCCAAGAACGAGGGUCACUCAGGCAACCUCGGAGAAGUUCCAUCUCCCCAUGAAAACCUCAGAGCAGUUAAUGACAAGGAGAUUUUGGUGAAGUUUGUAGUCGAUGACAAUCUUUCGGCUGAUAAGGUCUCAAACGAAGGAAGCUCGAGUCCUGGAGCAGAAAGCCCUGGAAAGAUGAAAGACAUGGCGAAGAGUAUUCUAAAACAUGCCGAGAAAUCUGCUCGUAGCAUAAAACAUGUUAUUUCUCGUAAAGGGUCGAAAAAAUCACGCAAUCUAUCAUCUGUGGAAGAACAAGAGUUUCCAAUAGAAUCUGACGACUCCUCCGAUGAUGAUGAAUCUUCGUCAUCCCCCGGAGUCAAGGGAAUACCAAUUCUUUCCAAUCACAUGCCCAGCUCCAGCGGCAACGACGAUACUCAGGAGCAUGUCAUUUUGACAGAUUCAAACUACCAGUUGAACCCUGAAACAAAUGUUAAGGAACAAGUAGAGAAAACAAGCGUUGAAGGACACAACAGCAUAGAUGACGAAGAUGUGAACAAUCCCAUUAAGCUCGGUAAUGGAACGAGCAACAUAGAUGACGAAGAUGUGAACGAUCCCAUUAAGCUCAGUAAUGGAACGAAUGAACCACCCUUGAAACCAAAUCCUUCGGAGAGUGGGAAAAAGGUAGAAGACACUCCUCAAACAGAUACCAAAGUUUAGGUUCAGUGUUUGUAUGUGCAUCCAUAAUAGAAGACUUUGAAAGAGUUUUGAAGAACAAUGGGUAUGGUCCAGCAAUAUAGAGUUUUAGAUGGAUAAGCAAUACAUAAUACAUUUACACGUGUUCCCUGUAAAAAUCUCCUUUGUUUGAUUUCUCAUAUUUGUUAUAUACAGCACAUCCAUCUUUGUAGAGUUCCAAAAUGAAAACAGUUUGUACAAGUUGAUGGUUUUUAAAACUUCUAUUCAAGUUAUUUAUUUAUUUUUAAUUUAAAAUUCAUAAUUUAAUUGUCAAUCAUAUGUCAAAAUUGGCCGUUAAUAACCGAUUUUGAUUUUAAGCAAGGAUGAUUGCAUAUUUUUACAUCCAAAAUACAAGAUAAAUUAAAAUAAAAGUUGGUAAAACUUGCCAAAUAUUGUCUCUAACACAUAGGUUUCCGAAUAUUCCAACGAGAUAAAUUAAAAUAAAAUUAAUCACCCUACUUUAGUCAUCAAAAUUUAAUGAAAUAACAAUUAGAUUUAAUUAUGUCGUUUAAACAUUUUGCUACAUUUGAGAAUAAUCCCUUAGUUUGAGCAUUUCAGAGUUUUGGAGAACAAUGUAUAUAUUAUCUUACAAGCUCAGAGAUGAGACUGUACUUGUUCCCAGCUCGAAACCGAAAUGAUUUAUAACAGGUUGCAACCGGAAGCUUUGCUACUAUCAGACUCCUUCAAACAUUAAUUCUUCUGAAUUUCCGCAUUAUGUUGCAUAAAAAUGUUAUUUCAAGAGAGCUAACAUUUCCACCAAUCGUAUUAUGCACCGUUCGCAUACAAACGGGUCCAUUCCUUAGCUGCAAAUAGUUAAGGAAACCAAGAACAUCAAUAGUAAGAAGCAUGGCAUAUCAUCUUUGAUUCUAGUAGUCAUCUAAGAUUGCAACCACAGGGUUUCACCUGUCUCGACGGCUUCGGCCUCGUUUAUUUUCCAGUGCUUAGCAAUGUUUUCCGAGAGUGGAUCAUCAGGAUUAGGAGCACUCAAGAGUGCUUGAAUGCUAGCAAUAACGAUAAUAAUUUCAGUAUUAACUUAAAACUUGAUCAAGAUACCGCAAUAACUUAAAUAACAUCUUCAACCCAGACAUUAAUGAAACCUCUUUCCAAGUAUUAAUAUGUACAUACGAAAAAGCAGUGAAGUCUUUCAUGCAGAACCGAAGCUACAUAAAUAGGGUUAUGUUGCACAAAAACUUAUAAUACCUCAAAAGUACAGUUCGAAUCUGGAGAGCCGGACUCCAUUUGUCUUUAAGAAUAUCGAGGCAUAUUCUUCCAAGCUGCAAGAAAGCUCAAUCCUUAGAAGCCAACAAAAUACAUCUUUAACACCAUAAAACAAGGACAAAAGAAGGAACAGGUAGAGCUGACCUUAUCGAUGUUAGGAUGAUAUAUCUUUGUAAGAAACCGGACCUGUUAUACCAAAUUUGUUCAGGUGGAUAAAAAUACAGAACAUACCAAAAAGGGCAAAACUAAUGGAAGAUGAAAAAAUUCUGAGAAACAAACAAGUCAAUCACCAUACUAGUAAACGUAAGAACAAGCAGUUUGAAAAGCCAGUGCAUAUAACAUACUAUUAAAUGUUCAUUUCCAAUUAAUAUUUUCCUCUCAAAUGUCAUUAAAAGCAAAUAAUGAUAUAGAACCAAAACUUCACCAUGUUGAAAGGAGAAUCAUACAUAUUUGCCAUAACAAUAAAGUAAAAGAGAAAUUCUGUUGAACCUGAAACUACUGGAACCGAUAAAACAACGUUCUCUACAUGCAAACUAGUGCAUCCCUAAUUCAUAUUAAAAUCCAAUAUAUAACAUUUUCAGAUGAAGUCGAUCAAUAUUGUAUAUCGAAGGAACAUCAAUCGAGCAAAUCCCAACAUAUGCAAAAAACAUGAAGGUCAUACUUGAAGAAUAAGUCACUGUUGAUUACCUUGGGAGCCGCCAUGGGAUAUUCUUCGGGCAAAAAUAGUUCCAACUUGAAAACCCCUCCUAAACAAAUAACCCAAACAAGAAAAUUCAUCAUAAUUCCAUACAUAAUGGAAAAUGAUAAAAAGGUGAUGAGAUAUUACAAAGCAUGCUAAUUGGCCUUAAAUUUCAACACAGAAAACACGGGUCCCUUUCUUUAUCUUUAAAAGAUGGAAAUGAAGUAAUAUAAACGCUGCAUAAUCAUUUUCUCAAAAGAAAAGAAAAAAAGAAGCAAACUUUAAGCAUAUGGAGGUUAUUUUAAUGACUAAAAAUUGGCUAUGGUGUCAAUCUUUAUGUAUUAAAUCAGCUGAGACCGAACUAUUAUACAAUAGCUUCUAAAAUUUUACAGCUCUAACACAAUGAAAAGUAUCAGCAACCAUCAGAUUAAAAAGAAAAUCAACUACCUUCAUAUGGAGAUUGUGUUGGACCAAGGAUCAUCACAUUAAAAUAUCGCAUAUUAUCCUCUGAUGGUGAGGCAUUAAUUCCAGGCGCUGUAUUUAAGGGGGAAAAAAACAAUAAACUCUUUUAUUUACCAGGAAAAGAAACCCAGAAAAUUCAACAAGAAAAAAAGAGAGCAUAGCAUUUACCUGGUUCACUGAGGAGACGCUGAGUUUCCUGUUUAGAUCAAAGAUUAAGAAACAAAAAUUAAGCAUGAAACAUUUACAAAAUUCACAGAAACAAACUAAGAACACUUAAAAUAAUUUGCUGAAGCUUUUGAUUCAUUAAAACCCAAAACAAUUCAGCUACCAGAUCAAACUCUAGAAACCCAGAAAAAAGAACACAAAAAUUAUGAGGCUUCUCAUGAAGAAACCGAGAAGGAUCAGAGUGAGACCGAAAAAGGAACCUUUAUGAUUCUUCGAGGGAGAUUACUGUUGGCCAUUGGCGAGAUCGAUUGCAAGAAAAAAAAAAGAGGGUUUUUGGGAUUUAGAAAUUGAGAGAAAAAGAAAAUAAGAAUCUUUUGUGUAUAUAUUAGUACUAUGCCCACCACGCGAGAAAAAGUAAAAUAGAAAGGAAAUUAUUUAAUGCGUUAAAAAUAAUAUUAAAAGGAAAUUACUUAACAUAAUGUUUAUGUAUAAAUAUAAAAAAAUAAUAUAUAUACUAGUAAUCUCGUUCGAAAAAAACAUUCAGGUCCCUUUCGAUCUCACUCGGUUUCUUCUUAGAAGAUUUUUUUUUUGGUUUAAUUUUGUGUGUUCUUCUUUCUGGGUUUCUGGAGUUUGAUUUGGUGACUGAAUUGGUUUGGGUUUUAAUGAAUCCAAAACUUCUGCAAAUUAGUUUCAGUCUUUUUAGUUUGUUUGCGUGAAUUUUCUAAAUGUUUAUUGCUUAAUUCUUUCUUCUUAAUCUUUGAUCUAAACAGGAAACUCACCGUCUCCUCAGUGAACCAGGUGAGUACUCUGCUUUUUAAUUUAAAAUUUGAAAUUCUUGUUGAAUAUUGUUUGCUAUCGUUUUUCGGUUUAAAUGUUAUGAGCUGAAAAAAAGUUAAAAAUUUCUGGGUUUCUUCUCCUGGUAAAUAAAAGAGUUCAUUGUUUUUUCUUUUUCCCUUAAAGAGUUGAUUGCUUGCUCUCAUAUACACUUCAACUUAUUGGUGAAUUAAUUUAGUUUUUCUGGUAUAAAUUUGAUCAACCCCAGGAGUUUGAUACAUUGACACCAUGAAAGAGGAACAACGCUUACUUCUUCUCCACUCAUCCUCACUCUUCUUUCCUCCUCAAGGUCUUUCCUUUCCUUCAAAAACCAAAAGAUACUUCUUUUCAAUUUUGUUGCUAACAAAAACAAUUAACUUUUUUAUAUUACUUUUUUGGUUUUUCAUAGGAGUGAAGCUAUCAUAUGGGACAGCAGGAUUCAGGGCAGAUGCAUCGAUCCUUAAAUCAACAGUUCACAGGGUUGGGAUAUUGGCUGCUUUAAGAUCACUCAAAACCCAAUCAGUUGUUGGAUUGAUGAUCACAGCUUCACACAAUAAAGUUACUGACAAUGGAGUCAAAAUUGUUGAUCCAAGUGGUGGAAUGCUCACUCAAGAAUGGGAACCUUUUGCUGAUCAACUUGCCAGUGCCCAAACUCCUGAAGCCUUCCUCUCAGUGAGUAGCCUCUUCUUUAUGUUUUUGGAUGCGCGUUUUAUUUGCUUUAUGGUAAUUCAGUGAAAUUGUUGCUGAAAGAUGAUGGGAAUUGAUGCAUUUUUAAAUAUAUUUCCAAAUUUUCUUGAUGAUUAAUGUUAAGGUGUUGUAUAAGAAACAAUAGCUUUCUUUCCCCUUGAUGAGAAUACAAUGUAUUAUGCAUAUAAUUAACAGAAAAAGUAAACCAACUAAUAUAGUCUAAAGAGCCCACUAGUAGUUGAAAAAAAAUUCCAAUAUGAAGUUAGAGUAGUUUGUGUAAGGUGAGACUUACAGUUGAGACCUAAUGGUUUUAGGAUCGUCACCUUACCACUGAGGCAAGGUCAGUUGAGAAAGCAACAACCGUUUUGAUACUAUAGUUUAUGUUUGUUUGAUGAGCAGUAGUGAACUGAAGGUGUAAUAGUUUUGUUUAAGCUCAAAAAGUAUGCUAAAUUUUAGUAGUGUUGUGUAUUUGAUAUAAAUGGAGAGGGAUUUUUAGGAAAGGGAUGGUGAGUUUGAAGAGCGGAUUUAAAUUCUAUGUUAAAUGUGACUAGAAAUGCAUAUUAUACUUAUCAAUUGUUUGUUCAUACAACAGCUCAUAACAGAAUUUGUAGAGAAGGAAAAAAUUCCAUUAGAUGGAGUGCAAUCUGCAGAGAUAUUGUUAGGAAGAGACACCCGGCCUAGCGGAGAAUCCCUCCUUGAAGCUGCAAAGCAGGUACACUUUUUUCAAUCAACAGGGGAUUGCUGAAACUUUGAUAAUUUUCAUUGUGAUGUUAAAUGCAUCUAUCAUUUGCUAAUAUCUGUCCAUUUUUUAGGGAAUAAGUUCAAUUCAUGGAGCUAUUGCUCUUGAUUUAGGAAUUUUAACAACCCCACAGCUGCAUUGGAUGGUUCGUGCUAGGAAUAAAGGCAUGAAAGCGACAGAACCUGCCUAUUUUGAACAGAUUUCAAGCUCCUUCAGGCUAGUUGAAGCUUCAGGGUUUUUUGUAGCCAUUUUUUAGCUUGAAAUUAUACUACUUACAGUAAUGUACUAUUGUUUAGGUGCUUGGUAGAUUUGAUCCCAAAUGAAACCAAAAGCAGCAAGAUGGAUAACACAGUUGUGGUUGAUGGGGCUGAUGGUGUGGGUGGAGAGAAACUUGAAGUUUUGAAAAGUAUGUUAACCAGUUUAGUUAUCGAGGUUCGUAAUACUGGUAAAGGUGGGGGUCUAUUGAAUGAUGGGGUUGGUGCCGAUUACGUACAGAAAGAGAAGGUUGUUCCACGUGGAUUUUGUUCCAAUGAUGUUGGAUUAAGGUGUGCUAUCUCUUCAGAUUUGGGAGUAAAUUACUGUUAUCAACUGUUUAUAAGCUAAUUAUUCUUGCAUCUCACUGAAUUGUUGAUCAAAGGUUAAAGGCACAUUAAACAUGUAACAAAUUUGUGAUAUUCUUUUCUUUUUGUAACGAGUGUGUAUAAUUAACAAUUUUUCGAUGGUUUGGUAACUGUCUAGUUAGCAAUGCUUCAGGAAGUGAUUACUAACCAGACACUUGAUCAUUCAUUGACUAGUACAACAACUAGUUUGGAUAAUUGAUUCAUGAUGGUAUUUGAUAGCAUUUUUACCAUACUAAUGUUUCUAGUGUAUGUUUUGAAAUCUGGUUGUGCUCUUAACUAUUGUUUCUCAGGUGUGCAAGUUUGGAUGGUGAUGCUGAUCGCCUUGUAUAUUUUUCGGUCCCAACUAGCAGUAGCAGAAAAAUUGAUCUUGUUGACGGGGACAAAAUAUUAUCCUUGUUUGCAUUGUUCAUCAAGGAGCAACUAAGUAUUCUGACCAAGGAGGGCACUGAAAAACUUGAUAAUAGUUAUCAUGCUCGACUUGGUGUUAUACAGACAGCUUAUGCUAAUGGAGCAUCCACUGAUUAUCUCAAACAAUCGGGUUUGGAAGUCAUUUUUACUCCUACAGGGGUAAAACACUUGCAUGAGAAAGCUGCUCAGUUUGAUAUUGGAAUCUAUUUCGAAGCCAAUGGUCAUGGCACUAUCUUGUUCUCUGAAUCCUGGUUGUCUUUGUUAGAGGCCAGGAACAAUGAACUAGGUUUGGCAUCUGAAGGUAAUUUAUGAAUAAAGUCCUUUUCUAUAGAAGAAUUAUCUAUUAUAGUUUAUCGAGUAUUAUUGUCAUUUUUUUCUCAGGAUCCGAACAACAGAAAGCUGCUCUAAGACUACUCUCUGUCAGUAAAUUGAUCAACCAAGCUGUUGGAGAUGCUUUGAGUUGCUUGCUUUUGGUUGAGGUUAUUUUGCAACAUAAGGGUUGGUCCAUACAUAAAUGGAAUGAACUUUACCAGGAUUUACCUAGUCGACAACUUAAGGUCAGUUUUCUUCAUCACUCUUGGAAAAGAAACAAGGGUAGUCUUUCUCAUCUAUAGAAGGGAUCAUAUCUACCUUUUCUUGCUAGUUUUCCAUAUUUUGACUAAGACCUUUUCUUUUGUACGUUACACCUAAGACAUCUUAAAACUCGUUGAAGAGAUGGACCGUUUGAUCUUCUAUAUGAAGGAGAAAGUAUGCUUCACGUCUGUUGAAAUUGAAAAGGAUUCAUAUAGUCCUCAAUAGAGAGGCUGAGUUUGAGGGCUUCUAACCAAAACUACUAGAGUUUGGCUAGUAUAAGCAUGCAACAUUAGCUUAAUAAUAUUAGAUUUACUACAUGAGAAAGAGAAAAAAGGGGAAAUCUUUGAUACAACUGAUUUCCGCAUGCUGCAUCCUCUUUAUAAUGUUUUUCUUGUAAACUCUGCUAUUGUGUAGUCUUACAUUAGCAAUGCUCAAACUAUUUAAUGUUUCCAUUGCUUGUGCUAGGUCAAAGUUGUAGACAGAACAGCCGUUGCAACAACAAAUGCCGAAACUGUAGCUAUUAGUCCCCCUGGCAUUCAAGAAGCCAUUGAUGCUGAAACUGGUAACAUUUUUGUCAUUGAUCUCUUCUCAAUUCAUGUUUUGGUGCUUAUGCUUGGGCUUAUUUUAUGGUUCAAUUAACAUCUCACUAUUGGGGGAAUAUUUUUCUCUUAAGUCUCUUUUGAGGCUUCGUGUAUAUUAACUAUUUCUGAAAACUCAUACAAAAUGCAGCGAAGUACCCUAAAGGCCGGUGUUUCAUACGGCCAUCAGGUACAGAGGAUGUCAUUCGUGUUUAUGCAGAAGCCUCCACCCAAGAAGCUGCAGACAGCUUGGCCGGUUCUGUUGCCAAAAUUGUUGAUCGUUUUCUAGGUUUUAGCAGCUCUCAGCAGUAGCUUCCCUAAUCUUUCACAUUAUAACAGAAAUCACAAAUGGAGACGCAGAUUACUGUGGGUGCUUUAUAUUGAUUCUUUGUUUUGAAGGUAAUAUAUUUUAUUAUACUUUUUUAUAACAUUAAACUUUGUCAUCUUACUUUUACAGGCAUUGAUUUCAAAUUGAGUUUUCCCCACUACUUUGAACACUACAGAGUUCCUUUUCUGUUCGGUAUCUACUCGUUUAUGUAAAUGCUUCCCUGUGCGGUAAAAGUACCCCACAAUCUUUCUCCUUCAUCCCUUGCCCUUCUUUUUACUGGUUGAUGAAAUGGUUAACUCCUUUGGCUGACAAUUCCGGCUCCAACCGAGUAAUCCAUUUGGUGAUGGGCAAGGAACACAUUGGUUUUCCUCCCAUCUGUGCCCCAUAAUGAGUUCCUAGAGAAGAUUGUAAUGUCUCUUCCCAAGCAUGUCAAACGACCUUGUCAUAGUAGGUAAAAAGCCUUCAGGUUCCCGUCGGCCUUGUCAAAAUGAGAACCUUUUGCCGAUCAACUUCCCAAUGCCCAAACUCUUGGAAGCUCUCCUCUCUGUGGGUAACAUUUUGUGUUUGUGGAAGUGGGUUUUAUUUGUUUUAUAGUAAUUCACUGAAAUUAUAUCAAGAAACUAUUGGAACAUCCGGAAAUAUAUUUGAGCACCUCCAACUUCUAAUAAUUAACAAAAAAAAAAACCUUUUGUGCUACAGGGUACAGUCUUUUUUAUAUUCAACAUCACCAUAAGCAUUACUUUUCAACAUCAAAUUAUGUUUAUCCAAUUCCUCAAGUAAAAGGUUAACCAACGAGGAAUCAAAAAAGAAAUGCCAGUCCUUUAUCAUUAAAUAUUUAAAGUGUUAAUAAACAAAUCCAUCCACCAAUCCAUCAAAAACAAUGUGAAACUGAACAAUGAUGUACCAUUUCCCUGAGAUCCUUCCCAUAUAAGUCUUGAAGAGCAUCACACUCCACCAAUCUAUCUCCUUCGCUCACUUCACACAAAAUUUCCAUUGUAAGAACAAAAAUUUUAUUUACUCGAGUUUAAAAAGGUUAAAAACAAUUAGUUUAACUUUUUAAUUUUAAAUUGAAUCGAUUGAAUCGAAUAGUUUGAUCUAUGAACAAUAAACUAACAAAUAAAAAUAUAUCCCGUCACAUAAUUAUUUUAAGUGUGUUAUUUCAAAAUAAAAAUCUUAAAGUUUUGAUAGUUAUAAAAGGAAUUAUUUAGUUAAUUAUUAAUAAUCCACCAACAUGACAUGUUAUAGUAUAUGAUCAAAAAUAUUUUCCUAUAAAAAUAUUUAAAAUAAUUAAUAUAAUAAAAAAUAUGUCUCCUUAGUGGGGGUUUUAAAUUUUAAUUAAUCCGAUUUAAAUAACUAUAUAUAAAUAUUAUUAAAUUUUAAAUAUAAAAUAAACCGAAUUUAAAUUCAACCAAACCGGUUCAUGGGCCUGAUACGAGCCCACCGUUUUUCUUCAACAAACCGCGAAAGAGCAGAUAGCGAGAGUGAUGUUUAUAGACAAACGGCCGAGAGAAUGACAAUACACUCACCAGUCACCAAACCAGCAAACCAAACAAAGGAUAACAUUAAAAAUGAACACUUAUAAAGAUAUCUUCUAGAUUUUGCUUAUUAAAGCUUUGAUUUGAUCGUUUCCUCGAUCUCAUUUUAUAUUUUUAAAAUUAGUCUCAAACCCAAACCACCCCAUUCAGCGGAAUUGACAAUGCUGCUUAACGUGGGUACUUUCAUAAGAUCAGCUUCUCGAUUUUCUCCUUUCAUUAUAACCCAUUCUUCUCUUUCUUCUCCUUCUUCGUUUUGUUUCAGUUUCUCUCCAAAGCAAACCGUCUCUUUUGCUCUACAAUCAUCACAAAUGGCGUCUUUUACUACGUUAUCUCAAUCGCCUCCAAAGCUAUUGUUUCGUCAGUUGUUCGAGAAAGAAUCAUCUACUUAUACUUACCUCCUUGCUGAUUGUUCCCACCCGGAUAAACCAGCGCUUGUAAGUGUUUUUUUUUUCUUAAUGAAAAUAAAAUCUGGGUUUUGUUUGCUUUUGGGUUAUUAUUAUUAUUAGUAUUUGAUAUAUGGUGAAAAUGGGUGUGUGCAGUUGAUUGACCCUGUAGACAGGACUGUUGAUAGAGAUUUAAAUUUGGUUAAAGAAUUGGGGUUGAAGCUUAUUUAUGCUAUGAACACUCAUGUACAUGCUGAUCAUGUUACUGGAACUGGCCUCAUCAAGGUUUUCCCUUUCUCACUUUUACUCUACCCUGUUCUCUAUAUUUUUGGGGUUAUUAGAGAAAUAAAGUCUACUAUCAGUCAAUUUUGUUACUUAAGACUUGAGACUGUUGAACUGGAUAAUUCAGGUUCUAGUCAUUCAGGGGAUGUUAUUGUCUCUUAGAUUGAUGUAUAUGAAUGUGAUUGUUCCUUUUAGGGCAAGGUGCCUGGUGUCAAAUCCGUUAUUUCAAAGGCCAGUGGUUCCAAGGCUGAUGUUUUUGUUGAACCUGGUGACAAGAUCUCUUUUGGGGAUCUCUUUCUUGAGGUAGGCCCGUGUACGCAAAACUACUUGUUCUGUCAGUUUCGUUGUAUGGAUCUUUUUAAACAAUUCGGGAGAAUAUAGCUAUGAUGUUGCGGUGGUUUACGUAUUGCUGGCUCAUUAUGAAUUCUUUGUUUUUUUUUUUUUUUUGAAGAAAAGCUCGUUAUGAAUUCUAAAAGAUGAAAAAGAAAAUAGAGUUAGAGAUGUGAGUAUACUGUGUAGGUAAUCAUGACCAGCAUUCCAAUGGUUUUGUUAUUUAAUUGGUAAUUUGGUUUGUUGUUUUGAUUACACCCUAACUUCCAAUGUGGUUUAACUGGCAUUAUUGAAUGAUGACCAUUAGGUCUACUGCAGUACUAUCUUCUAUAAUAUGGUAAUAAUUGCAGGUUCGUGCUACUCCUGGUCAUACAAUGGGUUGUGUUACCUAUGUCACGGGAGAUGGACCUGAUCAACCUCAGCCAAGGAUGGCUUUCACAGGAGAUGCUCUGUUGAUAAGGGGAUGUGGGAGGACAGAUUUUCAGGUAUAAUGUCUUGAAAAUGUUAUUGCAGCUAAUCGCAAAAAAAUGGAAUGAAUUAAUAUUAAUGUCAUUAAUACAAAAGGAGCAGUCUAAAUUAAAAUGUUAAGCAUGUAAACCAAUCUUGGCUUUUCUUAUGCAUUUUAAAAUUUUUGUAUGUCCCCAUGUGAUGUUUGGAUUAGGAAUGUAUAUUUAUCCACUGAUAUGUGUCCCAGGAAGGGAUUCUUGAACCGAUAAUUGAUUGUUUUUGCAUUUAAUUUGCAUGCCCUAUUUGUAUUUCAAACAAUAGGACCGCUGCGUAGAUAUCUAACUCUUGGUUACCUAUUUGUCUAGUCUUCUACUUAUCGGUGCUUACCUUGUUACUGUGGUUGCACAUAAAGUGUUUGUCAUUCACAAGCCUCAUGGUAAACUAAUCAGUAAUUAAAUCAUCCUUGAAGUAAAAGUUUGAACUAUCAGGGCUAUACUUUUUGCAACGGAUUUUCAGUCGUGAGUACAUAAAUGCUGGUCUUAUAUGCUGGCAAUUUCUUUCCAUCUGGAUGUCAUUGUCAUGGAUAUUUCUGUCUUCCAGGAUUUUUGUUAUACUCAAGUUUUUAAGAUAAUUUUCUCUAAUGCUCCCACAUUCAGUAGCCAUUGACUAGCACUGAUUAACGCAUUUUGCAGGGUGGAAGUUCACAGCAACUCUACAAGUCAGUGCAUUCACAGGUAAGGACAGGGGACUUUUUAUGGUCCCAUUCUUUGAGUUCUCAAAAUUUUAUUAAUUGUCAAAUUUUGAAUAAAAAUUAUGGACUUAUUUGUUUCAUGGAUCCAGAUUUUUACAUUACCGAAAGAGACAUUGCUAUAUCCAGCUCAUGACUAUAAAGGAUUCUCAGUAAGAUAUAAAACUUUAUUCCUAUCAUUUCUUACAUAUAUAAAUGAUUGCUUGAUUUUAUAAACCUCAUUGAUUAUAGGUAACCACUGUGGGAGAGGAAAUGCUAUAUAAUCCACGCUUGACAAAGGAUGAGGUAUUCUUUCUGGAACCAUCCAUCUUCAUUUUUCUUUCGAAAAUGGCUUGCUACUUUUGACAAUAGAAUGCCUGUUUUCAUUUCAGUGAUAAGAAAGGGUUUCCUUUUGUCCAUGAAGUCUUUUAUGAUCUAACUUGUAUAAGCUGCAUAUAACUUCUGUAAUUAAAAUUACAUAUGCAUUGAACAUUUCUUGCUGAGCAUUGGUUUGAUUCUCUUGGACGGGACUAUUCCAAUGAACAUCGCCAUGGUAAAACAGGAAAUCAUGAAAAAGCAUGACAUCUCAAUACCUUCACGCAUUUGAUUGAAGAUUACUCUUUAUUAUGGUCAUAGAAUACUAGUUUCAAUUUGUCCCAUCAAUAUGUCUGAUUAUAUUAUUUGUUGAAUACCCUUUUUGCAGGAGACUUUCAGAAACAUCAUGGAAAGUAAGUUGAUGCUCAAUAUAUCCAGUCUAUAAAGAUUAUUAAAAAAUAAAAGCAUCCUCGGGUAUUUUCGGGUCGCCGGUUCUAAUUUCUCCUCUGUUUUUGUUGGUGCAACAGAUCUUAACUUGGCAUAUCCUAAGAUGAUUGAUGUUGCAGUGCCAGCAAAUAUGGUUUGUGGGUUGCAAGAUUUGGAACCUAAAGCCAACUGAGGCUUUGCUGGAUCAUCCAUAAGUGUGCACAGAUUUUAGUUGUAGUAUAAUUCUGGAUCUUAAUAUCACUGGAUAUGCUAAAUAAAAUGGCUAGAGAAGCCACGUGAUUGCAAGGAAUCCAUAAAUUAUAUAUACUAUAUCAUAUUGUAAUCAUGUAAUAUUGUCGUCCUUCUAUCUGCAUCAACUUGUGUUGUUCAUACAUACCCUCCUAAGUUACCGAACUUUCUAUCUGCAUCAACUUGUGUUGUUCAUACAUACCCUCCUAAGUUACCGAACUAUCUAAACAAGACAACACCAUGAUAUAUCAUAUAUCCUUUAUUAUUGGACCAACCAUAUUCAGCCAUAUCCUUUACAUUUCUGAAUUCGAUCAAGUAGAACUUAUUAGUAGGUAUAAGCUAUGAUUUGAAUUUGAUUUCAAGAUAUAUAACGAAUUGUACAAAUUUGUUGGAUUAACUUUGAUUUUAAUUUCAAUAUUAUAAUUUGAAUUCAAAUUAAUAUUAAAAAAUUUCAUUAAAAAUUAACUCGUGAAUUCUUUUUUCAAAAUAAAUAUUAUAUUAGAAUCAAUAACUUAAACUGACUCGAUUAACCGAAGCGAAUAAGGAAUAAUUUAGAUUCACAAGAUGUGUCAUUUAUAGCCCAAAUUAAAAUGUAAUAAUAAGUUAAAAUUGCCAAACUGGGUAUGAUAGGCAGUAGGCAGCUUCCUGAAUCCGAUCCUAACGCUCAAUUUUCUAUAGUUGAUUGAUCACCAUAACCAGAUCCCAUUUCCCAAUCUAGAAUUUCCCUGGGAGGAGAAAUGAGUAAUGAAGAUAGAAACAGAGGUGUAGCUGUAGAUAAACAGCAGCAUAACCAAUAUGGAACAUUCCAAGGAGUUGCCAACUACCCUCCUCCACGGCCUCCACGUCCCCACCACCACAACCCGCAUCCGCACCAGCACCAGCACCAGCACCAGCACCAGCACCAGCACCAGCAACAGCACCAUGGGCCAACUAUUGGGUUUCCUCCACCUGCCUCUAUCGCUCCUCCUCAGUAUUACCCCCAAGCCUACCAUACCGUGCCGGGUAUUCUACAAAUAUGAAAAAACCUUCUUCUCUUUUUAUUAGCUUAUCGAAAUGAAGGAUUUUGAGAUUUGGGUUUUUGUUAGAUGGAUGGUUAAUGAUAUUUUUUAGAUGAAAGAUACAAGUUUUUUAAUGUUUUAGAAGAAAAGGUGUUUCAAUAUUAGGAGUUUUUUAGCAGAGAAAGAAGAUAAGUAAAUGCAUAGAGAUACAUUAACAAUAUUAUUUGGAUUUGGUUGUCAAAUGUAUUGAAGAAUUUUUUAAAGUGUGGGAAGAUUCAAAGUUCUAUUAUAGCAGAUAUAUAUAUAUAUUUUAAUGGUUUAAGAAGAAUGGAAGUCGGUUUCAAAGGAAGAUGAGAAAUAAAAGCAUUUAUAUAUACGAUAUGUCAUUAAUUCAUAAACCAAAUAUAUAAAAUAUGUAAAAGUGUCAGGGGUUAAUCAUGGUGUUUUGACAAGCCGGUAACCUCCAACUUGAAGAAAACCUUAGGUUUCUAAAAUUUAUGUGAAGAGUUAGAAUGGUAUGCUUUGUGGAUCUGAAUAACUAGAACAGUGUAAGAGUGGUAUACUGUGUCAAGUUUGGUUUCUUGUAUAUAAUUGUAUCGAAAACAAUGUUACAUGAGUUAAAAUGAAUGUUCAACCAAUUUAACAAAGCCUGCAUUAUGUUGAUCAAAAUUUUUAAUUCAUGUUGAGGUUUCUUCCGUGAUAUCUUUGAUGUCAAGGUUAUGAUGUUGCUGAAGGAACACCUGUAAGAGAUAAGCUACCGUGCUGUGGCAUUGGAUUCGGAUGGUUCUUGUAAGUGUACAUAGUUUUCUUUGUUUUUAAAGAGUUCUUUACAUAUGAAGUAAAACAAGUAGCAACUUGAUGUAUAUGUCAUUAUGCUUUAACUUAAGCAAAUCAUUUUCCUUUAUCUCUAAUUUCCAUUUCUUUAAAAGAAAAAGAGGGAGUUUUGUAGUUUACAGUUUGGACAAAUGGAAGUUAAUAUAAUGCACUAUUUCGAUGGAGAUAUCCAAUCAUAUUGGAUGAAAUGUUAUAAGAAACCUGUGAGUUCAUAUUGGGUUUACUUUAUAUCAUAAUUAGAUUGUUUAUUUCACGUUGCUACUUGUUAAACUAUACCACUUUCACAUUCAUACGUGAAAUGGCUGGGAUUUAGUGCCAUUCUACUUAGCAGCCUCGUGUAAUACACAGGUGAAAUGUUUAUGUCUUCAUGUCACCUUAAAGUUCCCAUUUCCAUGACGGUAUUGUUAAGUAAAGACUGGUACAACCCCAAAAUACGGAAAUUGUUUUGGAUGUAUACUACUUUACCAUGCAUGAUUUUCUACAAGUUUGCAUGAUAUUUUAUUACUAUAUUGGUCGUUAUUUUCUGUACUCGCAGCUUCCAUUAAUAUAUUUUUAUGAAUUUUGAACUUUCUUGUUUAAUAAGUAUGCUGCUUUGAAGGUUCAUCAUUGGUUUCUUCAUUGGGGGCCUUCCCUGGUAUAUUGGAUUCUUUGUUUUACUUUGUGCAAGGAUAGACGACAGAGAGAAAGCAGGAUAUAUUGCUUGCACAAUUGCCGUGAGUAUCUUUUCUAUCAGUAUUUUUUCUUUUCCAAUUUUAUGAAAGCCAUCCUUCCUGCCUUGUAUGGGUCAUCAAUUUAACCAUUAUAUAUAUGUGUAUCUUAUGUAUUUGUACCAUGUUUUAUCUUCAAUGCAAAUAUAAGUUAAACUACAAAGAUUGGAUUGUUAAAAAAAAUUUAAAAUGUUAAAAAAAUUGAAAAUUUUGAUUUUGUAAGAAUGAUAGAAAACCAAGGCCAGUGCUUGCAUAUGUUAUCUACUACAUGCACAAUCGUGUCGAUGUCUGUCUAUAUGUUUCUUGUUUAGAAAUCGUGUUCAAUUGGGUUACGAUAUGUACUAUUGAAGUGUCAAUUUAUAAUUUCCUUAUCAAGAUUACACAUUUUUUUGUUAAUAUUCGGAAAUCACUCAAUGGUUAUAAACCCUGCUUGGAUACUGUCCACAAAGUCUAGUUGGAACAUCCCUUGUAUGCUUUGUCCUUUCUAAGAACUUUUCCUUUCCAUCAUUUUCGCUUCUGUUUUUUUUUCUUCCCUCUACUUUAAGUCAUUAUCUAACGUAGAUAUCCCUUGUAUUCUUUGUCCUUUCUAUGGCAAUCGAGUCAAUUGAUGGCAAGCCAAAAAAAAAAAGAACAGCUAUCCUGUCUUAAUCGAUUGCCAUCCCUCCUGUUAAACACCAUUAAGAAAAGGAAAAUUUUAGUUAAGCUUUAAAACAGCCAUGAUUUAACGAUGUUGGUGAUGGUGCUUGUGCAGGCCCUUCUUGCUACAACUACAAUUAUUCUUAGUGCAACAAUUAAAGCUGGUGGGUGAUAAAGCACCUCUUUUGACUGAGAGAUGUAUAUGUUCCCAAAUAAUAUGUAUAUGCUCCCCCCCCCCCUCUCUUUAUUUUAUUUUAUUUUAUUUUAUUUCCAGUAAGUUAUUGUUUAUGAUAAUUUGCAACAAAUGUUUUUGUCAUUAUUUUGUUGGUGAAUGAUAAUAAGAUUAAACUCUACUUUCUUAAGCUCCAAUUCUUUAAAGUUGGUGAUUUUUUAUUAUAGUUGAGUCAUUGUAUGGCAUUAAUAUAAUUUAUGUCGCUUAAAAUUUAUUACUAAAAAUGUAAAAUUUAAAUUUUACUUCAAUUUAUUUGUAUUUAUAAAUGGUUAAUUCAAACUUAUUUUUUUCCUCAUUAUAUUUUAUAUUUAAAUUAACAUUUAAACUAUUUUUCAUUAGCAAUGCUGUUAUUAAUUAUAUUUAUUAGCAACAACAUCAAACUUACAAAAAAUUAAAAUUUUAACUAUCUUUUAAAAAUAUUUUUAGCUAUUUAUCAUCAUAGAGAAAAAAAGGUGAGGUCACCACGCCUCAUGCUUAGACACCACAAGCUAGACUCUCAAGUCUCAUCACCUGUAUUUAUCAUCGAUUCAAAUUUUUAUGUCUACUGUAUUCCAGAACUACCUAAAAAUAUAUAUUCAAGCUUCCUCUGGUUAAGUUCAUUGAUAGUCAACUUACUAUUAUUUCUUAAAAAAAAAAAAAUUGGUUAAUAGUAAUAUCAAUGAUUCAAUUUUAUUCUUACCAGUAUCUGUCCUUUAGAAAGGGACUUAUAAAAGAGAUAGAGGUGAGUAAACUUGAGCUUCAGCUUUCCUCAAACACCUUAAUUUGAAGACACAGUUCUCUCAUACUAAAAAAGACAUGGAAGUUUGCCUUGUAAUUAGAGAUUUGGUUUCAUUGCUUGUUGUUGGGUUAUUAAUGAUAUGGGGAUGGAGAACUUUAAACUGGGUAUGGCUGGCCCCAAAAAGGCUCGAAAGCUGCUUGAGACAACAGGGUUUUGCAGGGAAUCCUUACAGGUUCCUUUCUGGUGACAUAAAAGAGCUCUUCACUAUGAGCAGACAAACAAGAGCCAAACCAAUGCCUCUUAGUGAUGAUAUUGGGCCUUAUGUUGUUCCUUUUCAACAUCAAACUGCUAACCAGUAUGGUAUGUUUUUUUUAUUUAAUCUGCAAAUUAUGAUAAUUCUUUGUUAUUUAUGUAUGGAAUUUAUUGGGAGGAAAUGCAGGAAAGAAUUCAUUUACGUGGUUUGGUCCAAGACCAAGGGUGAACAUUACGGACCCUGAAAAAAUAAGAGAAAUACUUAACAAAUUUAAUGACUUCCAGAAGAUACGUACCAAUCCUCUGCUUAAUUUGCUUGUAAGCGGCCUUGUUAACCUCGAAGGAGACCGAUGGAGCAAGCGUAGAAAAAUCAUAAACCCUGCAUUUCAUCAAGAUAAGUUGAAGGUAUAGAAUAGUGAUGGGUAAUCAGACUUUACAGAAAACAUCAUACUUAAACCAAUGCUUUUCUGAUUUAGAAAUAAUUGGAUGCAGAAUAUGUUGCCAGCAUUUUAUCAAAGUUGUAGUGACAUGUUAAGCAAAUGGGAGAAGAUGGUGUGUACAGAAGGAUACAGUGAGUUAGAUGUGAGGCCUUAUCUCGUAGAUUUGACAAGAGAUGUGAUUUCCCGAUCUGCUUUUGGAAGCAGCUUCGAAGAAGGCAAACGAAUUUUCCAAUUACUAGAGGACCAACUCGUUCUCACAAUCAAAUUAAUACAAACUGUUUACAUUCCAGGAUGGAGGUAACCGUCAACUUAAUUUACUUGAAAAAGGUUGCAAAUCUUGGAAUUGGCUAAAUUCGUGUUUGUUUUCUUGAAGGUUUUUGCCAACGAAGACAAACAGGGAGAUGAAGAUGAAACACAGAGACAUAAAAGAGUCGCUUAGGGAAAUGAUAAAGAGAAGGGAGAAGGCAAUUAAAGCAGGGGAAGAGAGCAAUGAGGACUUGUUGGACAUACUUGUGGAAUCCAAUAUCAGAGAAAUGGAAGCAAAGAAUAUGGGGAUGAGCAUUGAGGAUGUGAUUGAGGAAUGCAAGCUGUUUUACUUUGCUGGCCAAGAGACCACUUCGGUCUUACUGGUGUGGACUAUGGUUUUAUUAGCAAGGUAUCCCGAUUGGCAAAGUAAAGCAAGAGAGGAGGUUUUGCAUGUUUUGGGUGACAAUAAACCUGAUGCUGAUGGCCUUAAUCGUCUCAAAGUUGUAAGUCCCUAGCAUGUCUUUUGAAGGUCCGAUCAAUGAGGUCGACAACUCAAAAACUUUGUUUCUUUUUUCGCUAAUUCUACAGGUAACGAUGAUAUUGUACGAGGUUCUAAGGCUGUACCCACCGGUGGUUGAGCUAGGACGUUCCGUUCCAAAAGAAAUAAAACUGGGGAAUUUGUUGUUACCAGUAGGAACAGAAGUUUCGGUUCCGAUCCUGCAGAUCCACCAUGACAAAGAUCUUUGGGGUAACGACGCACGGGAAUUUAAGCCAGAGCGGUUCGCGGAAGGGGUUUCCAAAGCAACAAAGAGUCAAGUCACGUUUCUGCCAUUCGGAUGGGGUCCUAGGAUCUGUAUUGGCCAAAAUUUUGCUUUGAUGGAAGCCAAAAUGGCGAUGGCUAUGAUUCUCCAACGCUUCUGGUUCGAGCUUUCCCCUUCCUAUGCUCACUCUCCUUACAGCAGGGGAACUCUUCGUCCACAGCAUGGUGCACAGAUAAUUUUACAUAAACUUGGCUGUAAUUGAAUUGUUAUGUAAACAAAUCUUUGUGAAAACAUAGCGUUUUAGUGUAUCGUCAAAGUCCGGUGUCUGUAAUGGUACAAAUUCGAUGCAUGAAUAGUAAAUUUUGAGAUGUUUGGUGAAGUCCGAAAUAAUAUGCAGAAAUUGAGCGUCUAUGGUGGACAUAGUUGAGGGACUAAUGUGGUAAUUAUCAAUCAAAUAAUUCGGUACAAAGACUUGUAUGGAAAUUAAAGCAGGGGGAGUUGAAAAUGACUACUCUGCUUUGGGCAUCAAUUUAGAAAGAUUUAAAGUACAACUGUGUUAUCAGUUAAGGGAUUUGUUUUAAAGAGGGAAUGACAAUUAAACCUCAUGGUUUAUUUGUGCAAGGGAACCGAUGAUGGGAUGAUUAUUCUUAGUGGUAAAAAAAACCAUUAUGGAGGUUAUUACACUUGUUAUCAUCAGCUUAAAAUUCGAAUGGGUUCAAGUCGGAUUAUAUCGAGCUUGUAAGAUGAGUUCACGGACCAAGUUUGCAUAAUAAAAUACCUAAAUGAAAAAAAAUUCUAUUUUAGAGGGACGAGAGCCCCUAUCAACUCCCGGCUCAGCCACUAAACAAUACCUAUAUCAUAUAAAUAAAUACCACCAUCUAAAAGACUCAAAGAAAAACACUCAACAAAGGAUAAAUAGAUAGAUGUUGGAUAAGUGUCCAAAAUAUGAUUUAAGUGAAGAUACAUGUGGUAGGUGUUACGGAAAUGUGAAGACAAGAAUCCCACUAACGUAUGGGAUGUGUGCAGUUGAAUGUAGGGAGCAAAAAGAGGAGUGAAUCAUUUUGGUAACAUUUGGACAAGAAACAUAAUGAACAAAAUGGAAGGAGAGGAAGCUAGUAAAAGAAUUUUUUUGGGUCAUAUAAUUUGUUCAUUUUGGAGUUGAAUUAUAAUUUUUUUAUAUAUUAUUUUAAAAUUUUAAGGAGUUAAAACAAAAUUAUUUUAUUUUCAGAUGGUCAAAGUAGAGGUGAUAAUGGGUUGGGCUAUUCGGCCCGGCCUGACGAUUCACUCGAAAAAUAGGAGGGUUUAGGUAAAAAUAUAGGCUCGAAAUAGGGAUUUGAGCAAAAAAAGAGUCCCGUUUAGAAAAUGGGCCAGGCCUCGGGUAAAAUUUUUUGGGCCCAAGCCUGACCUGAAUUAUAUAUUAAAUAUAUUUUUUAAUUUUUAAUCAAAUAUACUUUUUUUUAUUAAUUUGGUUAUUAUUUUAGUUCUAAUUUGUUUCAAUUUUAAUAUAACCACUUUUUAUUAUAUUUUCAAUUUGUGUAUUGUUUUAAGAAUUGUUUUAGUCUCAUUUUUUUAUUUAUUUUUUGUUUUAAUAAUUGUUUUAAAAAUUUUUAUUUAAUGAAAUAAGCUAAAAAAAUUAAUAUGGGCUUGGCCAGGCCAGGCUCGGGCCUAGUAAUUUUCUUUUGGGCCGGACUUAGAUAAAAUUUUAAGCCCAUAUUUUAAAUUGGGUCCUAACCUAAAAAAUGAACCUAAAAUUUUAUAUGGGCCCGACUUGGCCCUUGAUUACCUUUAGGUCAGAGCUAUCCUCGUUUUGCAUUUCUUUGAGAUUCAGCCUUAUCUACUGUGAUUGCCCACUCAAUUGAGGGUUGAGUAGAAAGAUUUGGUGAAGCAAGCUAAGCUAUCAAUCAAGGUUUGCAUAAUUAUUUAAAUGUAAUUCUAAUAUUAAAAUAAUUUUUUUAUUAAUAUAGUAUCAACAAGCAUUAAAUGUAAUGAUCAUAUACUAUUACAUUUUAAAGAAGAGAAAACAUGUUUGAACUUUAAAAACCACGUUACUAAAAACAUUAUCACAAACCUUGAAAUAUAAAAAAUAAUUUUUUUAAUAUAAUAAAAAAUUAAUUUUAAACCCGAGCUGAAUAAAAUUCUAAUUUUAGUUAAUGAUACGAACAACAAAUCAAUAUUCUAAGCCCGAGCCCUGCUCAUUUUUUUAAUAAACACCAAAAAUUUAUUUUGAAAAUAAAAAAUAAAAAAAAUAUUUUAAAAAUAUUUUAAAAAUAAAAAAAAUUAAAAAUAAAUAUUUAUUAUAUAUUCAGGCCGGGCCGGGCUAGCCUUGGGCUAAAAAAAUGGUGCCCGAGGCCCGGCCCAUUUUCUAAAUAGGCCUCAUUUUUUGUCCAAACCCAUAUUUUGGGCCUAUAUUUUUACCCGAACCUCUCAUAUUUUGGGCGGACCGUCGGGCCGGACCGGGCCGCCCGGCCAUGAACACCUCUAGGGCAAAGUCACUCAAUGAAUGCAUGGAAAGAAAUAUUGCAACUUGGUGACAGCUUUUGUUGGAGUUAUAUGCUUUUUUUUACAUAGUGGAACUUUCGGUGGAUUUUCAAGUUUCAUGAACUUUAUACCCUAGGCUUUACGUGAAAAAAAUCAUUGGACUUAAAAGUCUACCAAAAGUUUCACUAUAAUAAAUAAAUAAAUAAAUAACAUUGCUACAAGACUACAACAUAAAGUUACAAUAAGAGCUUAUAACUCAACAAAGGCUAUCAAUAAAUAAUCUCAAGCAAGCUAAAGAGAAAUGUUGAGAGUACCACUCAAAUAGUGAUUGACUUUAAAAAUUGAAAACCCGAAGUUAUUGUUGACACCAUUUUUUGGAUGAAAAUGUGUCGACUUGGGUUUUGAAAAUGAAAACGAAAACGAGAGUCGCCACCAAUCCUUUUUGAUAAGGUGUGACUGGGUCACCUUGAAAAGUGGUUGUUUUUAAUAAACGAUUUGAUUUUAUUAAAACAACAGUUUUGGUCCACGAAAUUCAGAAAAAUGAGUUCGGGAGUCGGUUACGCACGAGGAAGGAUUAGCACCCUCGAUACGCCCAAAAUUGGUACCUAGUUGAUUACUUAAUGUCUUAAUGUCGAAAAUUGAAAACUUUGGAGAAUUUUAAACAUACGAUCCUUGUAUUAAAACGUUAAAAAUUUUCAAGAAAAUGGGAUAUUUCACGUUAUUCGAUAAAGAGAAUCAUAUCCUAGUAAGUUAGGACACAAUAUCUCGAAUUUCCGAUAUCAUUUAAAACUUGAGUUUGAAAAGAUUCGUGUAAUAAAGUUUAAAAUAAUAUUCAAUUGUUUAAAUCAAAUGAAGAAAUCGCAACCCAAUACGUUAGGGCACAAUUUCUCAAAAUAUUAAACAUUGAAUAUUGCAUUUAUUUCGAAAAAUCCUCAUCUCGAGAAAACGUGUCACAUCCAAUGCAUUAGAAUACAACGUAUUGAAUUCUCGAUAACGAGCUUUUUCUCAUUUUUUAAAAGAGUAAUCUCGAUUAUUUAGGUUCAACGAAGAAAAUCAAAACCCAAUACGUUAGGGCUCGAUUUUCUCAAAGAUUCCAAAUACCGAGUAUUACUUAUAUUUUUAAAAUUUCUUUUUUGAAAUCCGAGUAAAAAUGAAUGCAAAAUAAUAAAUGAUGACAAUGUAAAUAAAAUGAUACAAGCAAAACAAUAAACAAUAAAAAUAAUCAUACGGGCAAGGUAACAAAUAAUUAGGAACUAAAGAAAGAGAACAAACAAUAAUAAACAUGCAAAUAAAUGAACAAAAUUAACAACAUGAUGCAAAUAUGAAAGAUAUAUAAGCACAUAUAUAUACAUAAAAUAAUGAGAAUAUGAAAAAAUGUGUGUAAUUGGACAUGUUUCGGAAUUAUUAUACAUUUAAAAAUCAUGUAAAUGUGUGUACAUACAUAUAUACAUAUAUAAUAAUCAUUAAAUAUAUAAAAAUACAUAUGUGUAGGUAUAUAUGAGUCAUAAAAUGUAAAGAAUAUAUACAAGAUAUAUUUUGAACGUAUAAAGUAUAUGUAAAUGUAUAUAUAUAAUAAAGGUGUAUGAAAGCAUAUUUUAUAUACGUGUAUUUAUAAAAUGUAUAUAAAUGUAUAUUGAUUUACCAAUACAUAUGGAUUUAUAAUUAUAGAAUAUAUAUAAAAUAUUUACAUAUAUACGUUUAUGCAUAUAUAAAAGUAAGUUAUUAUAAAAUAUGAGCAAGCAGAAUACAUAAAUAUAUAUACAUAAAAUAAAAAUGAAGAUGAAAAUAAUAUAAAACUACUUAAUAUAUUAAUAUAAUAGUAACAAAUUAAAAAAACAGAAAAUAAAGCUAAUAAUAAUUAAUAAUAGUAGUAAUAAUUAUAGCAGCAAUGAUAAUGAUAAUAAUAAUAACACUAAAAAAAUUAAUUAAAUAAUAAAAUUGCUAAAAAGGGAUUAAAUCGAAAUAAAAACAUAAAUACUGGGCGAUUUUGAAAUAAAAAACGGGAAGGACCGAAUUGCAACGCGCGUUGAAAAGGAAAGGGCCAAAACUGCAAAUAAACCACAGCCCCAAAACGCAGCGUUGAAAUGGACCAAGUCGAAAUAAAAAUAAAAUUGCAGGGGCUAAAUUAAAAAUAAGAGAAAAUAACGAAAAAUGAUCAAAUUGUAAUACGCUGCAAAAUCAGGGGGACUGCACGCGCAAAUAGCCCAAAAACUGAAAACACGCGGAUCCUCCGGGUCGGGUCGGGUCGGGUCAGGUCGACGUGCGGAUCCCCUUUGCUAAAACGGCGUCGUUUCAUGUUUAAUAUAAAUACUAAAAAAAGCUAAAAAAAACAGUUUCAUCUUUUUUUAAAAAAAACAGAGAGAAAACUCUCUCUUUUUCCCUCAGGUCCGGCCAUGGUCCGGCUUGGGAUUUCCGACGAGUCUCCGCCGCAAAGCCACCGUGUGUGGCGGCCGGAGGUUCAAAAUCAGACCUUUUUGGUCCUUUUUUAAAGUCCAUGGCCUCCAAGCCACAGAUCCGGGGCUGAAUCUCCUGAAUCGAAAGCCGAAGACCCAAAAAAUGGGGUGAAAUCCUUCGCCUUCCUCCCCCUUCCGGCGCUGCGCAGGUAAGGUUUUUUUUAACUCCUUUUUUACUAUCUUUAUUUAUAUAUAUACAUGAAGAGAAAAGAGAGCAAAAUAAAUAAAUAAAUAAAAACUUCAAAACUGAAGAGAAAAAGACCUUGAAUCUGCCUUAUUUAUUUUCUUUCGGUUGAAUCUGUUUUUGUUUGUUACAAAAGUUUCCAGGGAAGAGAAAAAAAAAGAGAGUUACAUGCUUGGCUUUUAUAGCCGAUAUUAAUUUCUAUUUUUUGUUUUCUUUUUCCUUUCUUUUCUUUGGCUGUUGCGUGUUUGCUUCCUUAUUGCAGGGUGAUUGACGGGAGUGGUUGGCGACAGAGUCGGUGGCCACUUGCACUGAUGAAGCAGCGGUGGCGGCGCUAGGGUAGGCUAGGGACGGCGGCAGUACUAGGGUUUCAGAAAACUGAAACCCUAGUUUGACAAAUUGGUUUCGGGCCUGUUGGGCUUUAAAUUAUGGGCUUUGUAAUUGGGUUUUGGGUUUAGGUGAUUUGGGUUUAGGUGGUAUGGGCCCGGGUCAAAUUUUGGGUAAUGGGAUUGGGGCAAAAUUGGGUUGUACAGUUAUAAUAUCCCAAACGAAAUCAAACUAUAAACAUUAAAUUUUUCGAGUCUUCUAGAUACUGUAAAAAAUUCAGCUCCAACGGACACCAAAUGAACCUAUGAUCGAAGAAAAUACGAAGACUAGUCUGGCUAAAUCAAUCUGCCAAACUUACUUUUUAUCUUAUCUUUAAUUUGCUGUGAAAUUCAAAACUACGUGUAAUACUCAAUUUAUGCUCGACCCAUUUUGUUAAAACAAAUAAAAAAGAAAAGAAAAACAAAAUAUUUAAAUUUAGCCCAAAUGUCCAUUUACACAGCCCAAUUACAAUUGCAAAUAAAAAAAACUAAAACUAAACCCGAUCCUAAGCAUCAGCCCAAAUUCGACCCAUGCCCAAAACGAAUUCAGAUGCAGAAACCCUAGCCCAGCCUUAAUGCAAGCAAAAGUCGAAAGCCCUAAUAGUUGGUGCGCCGCUCCUGUAACAGCCCGAUUUUGGGCCUAGUCGGAACAGUGGUUUUGGGACCACAAAUCCGACGAGAAAAAAAUGUAAUGGCCCGAAUUUUCAGAGGUGUCAGAACGGUGAUUCGAGAUCACUAAAUUCGACAAAUGGGUAGAAAAUAUUAUUAAUUUAGUAAGUAUAAGUUAAAUGUGAAGUUAGGAAAAUUUUUGAAAUGGUGAAUAGUACACUAGAAAUAAAUAUUAAAAUAAUUAGAAUCGAAAAUGAGGUAUCGAGACCUCGGGGAUUUUAAACCGAGCCAUAAAUAUUUUUAUAAAUAUUUAUGUAGUCUUAAAAAGUUAGUAUUAAAGUUUCGUUAAGAAAUUUUAAAGUUCCGAUAAUUAAUUGAACAAAAAGGACUAAAUUGUAACAAAUACAAAAUUAUGAGAAAUGAUUAAAUAGUUUAAAUGAUAAAAGGAAGAGGGCUUAAAAGGUAAAUAGACCCAAGGUCUAUUUGGGCUGCACGGCAAAGGCAUGAAAUCAGCAACAAAGUAAGGAGAAUUAAGGGCAAAAUUGGAAUAUUGCAAAAUUUACUUAAUAAAGUUAGGACCAAAGUGGAAUUAUCUAGAUUUCUCUUUAUUUUUCUGCAUUAUCAUCAGCAUAAACACCAUAGAAGGGUUUUCUUAAGCUGGUUCUUCCUAUUUUUACUGCAGGUAAGUUCAAUUCUUGAUUAUUUCUUGAAAAUUUUGUGUUUUUGUGACUUUUACAACUAGGCCCACUUAUUGUAUUCAUUAGUUUUUGAUUCUAUGAAAGAAGUUGAAAGUUGCUAUGAAUACAUGCUGGAAGUAUAUGAUGAUUUAGCAUGGAAUUAGAGCUUUAAAUUGUUCAUAUGCUGAUUUAUUGAAAGAAUUGAAUAGAAAGUGAAUGUUUGGGACCUAAUAGUAAAAGAGUUUGAAGAUAGAGUUAUAUGUGGAAAUUCUGAAUUUCAAUAGUUGUGAAACAACUUAUAAUGUCUAGGUUAAGUAUUAAUUGAGAAAAUUAAAUUAAUUGAGGGGUUAAUUGAGAAAGGACCGAAUUGUAUAAACUGUGAAAUUUGGGGCAAAAAGGAAAUCAACAUUUUACACUAAAGCAGUUUUGGACAGCAGCAGUAGUAUAACUUUGAAAAAUCACCAAAAAUUUUGAGAAUUGAAUUAGAGGGUGAAUAAAAUAUAAAAUUAAAGCUCCUUGAAUCUAGUUUCUCAUAGAAGAAACGGUGUAAGCAAUGGAAUUGUAAAUCAUGAGAUAUAAUAAAUUUUGUGAGACAAUGUCAUAAUGAUUUCGGGUUCCCCUAUUCUGACUUUGGAAAAUCAUCAAAAAAUUAAGAAAAAUAUGAGUUAUAAUUUAUAUGAUUACAAUCCUUAAUGAGUCUAUUUUCAAAGAAAAUAAACGGAAAUAUCAUCCAAAUUCUGUACAAUUAUAUAAUUCAUUUUUAGUGAAGAGUGGUCGAAACUGUCAGACAGCGAAAUAGGGGGAACUUUAAAGAAUAAACUGUACUAUUUGGCUGAACCAAAAAUUCUGAAAAUUUUAUGGUAAGAAGGUAUGUGAGUCUAGUUUUAAGGAAAAUUAACGGAUCUUAAUUUAGAGCUCUGUAGCUCUAGAUAAAAAUAAUUUAGUGACUCUGACUCAGAUAAAUAGCUUUGAAUGUACAUGUGAGUGAAUAGUGAAAUUAUAGCUAGUGUUGUUUAAGUGUGUUAUACACAUUAAGGAUAUGGAAUGGAGAGGAGGAGGAGGAGGAAAAAUUGGGAAAUAUAUGAAUGAUUUGUGUAUAAUUGGUCAUAUGCUUAAUUAUAAUUGAUAAACGAUGAAAUAGAAAUGAUGCAUAUAUUUGUGCAGUAUUGGUCAUGGUUUAAGCUCAUGUGGGAAAAUAAAGUUUAUAGUACGUGUGUAUUAUAUUUUUGGUAUAUGAUUUGGCAUUAAGUAAUGUCGUGAAUGGAUAUUGAAUUAACACAUGUUGGAAAGUUUGAUAUAUGAAUAAAUAUUGUGAUCAUGAAAGAGUGUUACAGCUCCUGCCUUCAGCACGCGUCGAGCCUCCGCGCCAAAUCCACGUGAGCCUCCGUACACUCCAACUAGCCUCCGUACCUGCAACAAACAAAAGUAGACAAAACAACAGCAAAGGAUAGGAAGAAAAGGCAGUAAAUAGUGAAGAUUUUUCUGUAAUUUUCUUUGGAUUUCAUUAUGUAUUUUCGGCUAUAAAAGAGCCAUUAGGAAUAUUUGUAAAGGGUUUUUUUUUUACCCUCACACACAAAGAGAAUAUACACGCAUACAAGAUCAAUAUAGAGAAAGAAAUAAAAAUAAAUAAAUACAAAGAAUAGAAAAUCAAGUUUCGAAGGUGAUUCUUUGAAAAAUCCUUUUCGUUUUUCUCAUUUUUCCUUUUUCCUGGAUCUUUUGUUCAUUUCAAGUAAAAAAAGUAUAGAAAGGAAACAAGUUUAGAGGAAGGAGGUUUACCUGGACGCCGGACCUCGCUCGCCUCGUCGAAAUCGAAGGCUGAGAGGGGAUAAAUCGGUUUUGCGGCAGAAGGAAAGGGGGGCUAGGGUUCUUGUUUUAACUUUUUUAAAAAAAAUAGAAAAGGUUGCUAAUUAGGUUUUAAUGGGGGAUUUAUGUGUGUUAAAAAAACGACGUCGUUUAGCGACCUUUGACCCGUGCGGUGACCCGACCCGAGGAAAGGAUCUGCGCGUUUUGGGUCUGAUGGGUUUAUUGCGCAACAAGCCCUUCCGCAUUUGUUUUUCGUUUCAAUUCGGUUUUUAUUUGUUUUUUAAUUGUUUUCUCAUAUUUAGUUCCAAUUUCAAUUGGGUCCAUGAUUAAACGACAUCGUUUUCAUUGAUUGGGUUUGAAGGCCUGGUUUUGUGCGUCUAAAUUGCAGCAAUGGUCCCCCUGAUGUGCAAUAGUUCUCGAUUUAGUCGUCUCCACACUUAUUUCAAAGUCGUCCUUGAGAUUUUGUUUUAUUUUUGAAAUUGUCCUUGUCUUCUUUUAAUUUAUAAUGAUAUUAUUAUUAUUGUUGUUGUUAUUAUUACUAUUAAUAUGGGUAUUGUUAUCAUGUUAGUUUAUAUCUAUUUAUUUACUUUUAUUUUAUUAUGUAUUAUUAUAUAAUGCUUUUAUCAUGUAUCAUUUUAUAUAUUUUCUAUGUUAAUCUAAUAUGAUAUAUAUAUAUAUAUGUAUUUUUGUGAUCUUAUUUUAUAAUACUUUUUUAACCCAUUUAUAUGCCUUUAUGUUUUAAAGAUUUAUAAUAUUUUGUGCAAAACUAUUAUAUAUAUAUAUAGAUAUACAAUUUAUAUUAGACCAUUUUUAUCGUACAUAUACGUAUAUAUAAUUUAUAUUUUGAAACUCUAUUUUAUUAUAUUUUAUGCCUCUAUAUACAUCAUUAUAUGUUUAUUAUUCUUUAUAUUAAACCUGCCAUUUCACUUAUAUAUUUUUAAAACCAAUGUGUAUUAUUCUUUCUUCUUUGUUAUUUUUUAUCUCUUAAAAUAGAUUGAUAAUUCAUUUAAUUUUUGAAUGUUGUAUGACCGAGAUUAUCGUUGCCAUUCUUGUCCAAAUUUAUCCAUUGCUUGUUCAUAUUAUUUGAUAAUUUAUCGCUCACUAGCAUGUAUCGUAAUUUACGAAUUAUCAUUUUGAAUUAUGUACUACCAUUCAAUCGCAUUACAUUUGUUUGGAAAACAUCGAAAUCGUUUUGCACAUAAACCUUCAAAAUGCUUGGUAUCCAAAAUUCUCGAGAGGAUUGUGCCCUAAUUUAUUGGGCUUCAAUUCCCCUUUUUGAUUUUAAAUAACCGAAUACCCCUUUUUCAAUUUGAACAUAGAAAUUCCAAAAUAAAAAAAAACUCAUUCUCGGGAAUUUGAUGCGUUGUGUCCUAACGUAUUGUAUAUGACAUAUUUUUCUCGAGACGAGGAUUUUUCUAACAAAUAAAAAUAAAGGCAAUAUUCGAUAUUUAGGAAUUUUGUGAAAUCGAACCCUAACUUACUGGGUUUUGAUUUUUUCAUUUGACCCAAGUAGGAUAUCCUUCACAAAUGCACAGAUUUUAAAAAAUCAAAAGAUAAACUUAAUUUCGAGGAUUUAAAAUGUUACACUCUGACUUACUGAGUGUGUCAAUUUAUUUCUUUGAAAUAAGUGAGUCUUAUCAUCCAAUUUAUUUUAUUCAAAUUUUCUUUUCCAAGGAUCGUAUUUUAAAAUUUUUUCAAAAUUUCGACAUUAAGACAUUAAGCAAUCAAUUCAGUACCAAUUUUGGGCGUCACGAGGGUGCUAACUCUUCCUCGUGCGUAAUCGACUCCCGAACCAGUUUUCUCAAAAUUCACAGACCUAAAAUUAUUUUCAAGGUGAUCCGAUCACACCACAAUAAAAGAUCAGUGGUGACUCCCAUUCCUAUUUUUAAAAGUCGAUUCCUGUUUUUCAUAUAUAAAAAAAUGGUUUCGACACUACGGUUUUGUUUGUUUCCCUUAGAACAACUUUCAAAAAGUUAAUUUUGAAAAAUGGAUUGAAUUUUCAAAAUAGAUGAUAUUUUUUUGUGUUAAAAUUUUAUUCGUUGUUUGAAAAAAAAAUUUAAAUCAUUUUCUUAGAAUUAUUUUUAGUGAAACAAAUAUAUCAUAAAUAUAUUUGUUAUAAAAUAUUAUAUUAAUAUUUUCUUUUAACAAUUAAAAUAUAUUUUGUGAUAAGGUAAUAUUUUAUAAUAAUUAAUAUCAUAUAUACUUAAUAAUAAAUCAUGUCUAAUUAAAAUUUAAUUUCAAUUAAAUAUAUUAAUAAAGCUACAUUUAAUCAUAUUUUAUAUAAUUAAAAUAUUAAUAUAAAUAUUUUUCAAUAAUAUAUUAAAGAAUAUUUAAAAUUUAAAUUUAUUAUUACUAAGAUUAAUUAUUAAAACAAAAAUGUAAUAUUAAAUAAUUUAUCCAAUGAUAAGUUAUAUUAAUAAUUUAUUAUAUUAUUAAAUAUAAAUAAUUAAAUAUGUAUGUUUAAUAAUAUUAUGUUAUAAUAUUUAUUACUAAUAUUUUAAUAUUUUUAAACAACCAUGUUUUAAAGAUGGUGGUGAUGGUGAUGGUGCAGGCCCCCUUGUUAAAAUUACAAUAUUUUUAAGUGGGAUGCAUGUAAUAUAUUGUUAGGGUUUUAGAGUAUGUGGUCUUUAAAAGGGUUAAAUUAUAUAUUUAUAUAAUAUGAUUAUUGUUUAUAAACAUAAUAUUGUAGAUAAGUUUAUAUGUAUGUCAAUAUGUAUCCUACUCUAAGGUUAAUAUGUAUUUUUUAGAUGUGGGUUUACCUAUAUAAUAGUAUGAAUCCAUCAUGUGGUCUCAUGAAAUAUACAAACACAUAUCGUGCGAACACAAAGUACGAACAAUAAAAAAUACAAAUCAAGACCCAAUUGAAUAAUUGAAUAACGGAUAGGUAAUAAUGAAUAUCAUAACAUUUACUAUCCCCUCUUUUCUAGUGAGUUAUUGUUUAUGAUAAAUUUGCAACAAAUGUUUUUAUCAUUAUUUUGUUGGUAAAUGAUAAUAAGAUUAAACAUUACUUUCUUAAGCUCCUUCAAUUCUUUGGACGUUAGCGAGUAAACUUGAGCUUCAGCAUUCCACAAACACCUUAAUUUGAAGACACAGUUCUCUCAUACUAAAAACGACAUGGACGUUUACCUUGUAAUUAGAGAUUUGGGCUCAUUGUUGGGUUAUUAAUGAUACGGGGAUGGAGAGCUUUAAACUGGGUAUGGUUGGCCCCAAAGAGGCUCGAAACGUGCUUGAGACUAGAGGUGAUCAAGGGCCGGGUUAGGCCCAGUCUAGAAAAAAAAUUAGGCCCAUUUUUUAGAUUUGAACUCGGCUCGGCUCAAAAUAUAAGCUUAAAAAUUUGUCUAAGUUCAGUCCGAAAGAAAAUUGUUAAGCCCAAGCUCGACCCAUAUUAAAUUUUACAACACCAAAAAAGUAUAUUUAAAUAAAAAUAAAAUAUAUAUAUUUAAUAUAUAAUUCGGGCCGAGCUGAACUCGGGCCAAAAAAGUUUUACUCGGGGCUGGUCCGUUUUCUAAACAGACUUCGUUUUUUUUGCCAAAAUCCAUAUUUUUACCCGAAUCUUCCUAUUUUUUGGGGUGUGCCGUCGGGCCGAACUGGGUAACCGAACCAAUGAUCACCUCUGUAAUCACUGAAUUUUGUCCGGGAAUAACUUUCGUUAAAAAAAUUUUAAAAUUAAAAAAAAAUUAACUUUUUUGCUUUUUGACCCCUAAACUUUUCUAAAAUUUCAUUUUAACCCCUAAACUUUCUCAAAAUUACAGUUCAACCCCUAAACUUUUCUAAAUUACAUUUUGACCCCUAAAAUUUCUUAAAAUUACAUUUGGACCCUUACACUUUCUCAAAAUUACGUUUCGGCCCCAAAAUUUUUGCUACAUUUACAAAUUGGUCCUUCUGUCAGAAAAUCCCCAAUAAUCCGGCGGAUUUCGUGCACCUGCCCCACUAUUUCCGGCAGCCGGCCUAGGGCAUGGCCUUCCCCACCUGCUACCUGCAAACAAGAAGCAAAAUCAACUAUAAAAAGGAGUUUAAACUCCAAAAAUCGGACCCCCACCCACGAAAAAAAUAAAAAAAAAAAACUUGAAAGAAAAAGAAAAAAGCUUUGAGAAAGAAAAAGAAAAGGAAAAGAAGAGAGGGGAGAAGGAGAGGCCGACCAUCGGCGAGCCACCGGAGGAGGCGACGGCAGCAGCGGCAUCGACGGCGGCGUAGAAGACCGAACGGAGAAGAAGAAGAAGAAGAAAAAAAAAGAAAGAAGAGAAAGAAAGAAGGAAGAAGAAGAAGAAAGAAACAAAAAAAAAAGAAAAUAUUUUGUAAUAGUCGGCCCGGCCCGACUCGACCUGCACGACCCGUGACCCGACCCGACAGCACCAGCAACCUAGCAGGCCACGGUAGCAGCCCGGCGGCCCAAAGAGUAGCCCAAAAAGAAAAAAAGAAGAAGAACAAAGCAAAAAAAAAAAGCAGGCCAUUUUCAGCAGGCCCAGUGCAGCCCAGCAGACCCAGCGAACCCAGCAGGCCAGGCCCACACGCAAGCAGCCCAACAGAAAAAAAGGGAAAGAAAAAGAAAAGAAAAAAGAAAAAAGAAAAAAGAAGAAGAAGGGGUUCAAUUUGUAUUAUCCGUUCGGCGAAGCUCGUGUUUUGAGGAUUUUUUUUCGGUAAUUUUAUUUUUUAAUUUUAAUUUAAUGCUCGUAUUUUUUUUAAAUAUUAUUAGUAUUUUAUGCAUUUUUAUAUUUUGGCAUUUAUAUUUUUAAUUUAAUUUACUUCAAUUUUUAUUUUAUUUUAUUUUAAAUAAUUUUAAUAAAUGAGGCAACGAAUCGAUUUAACAUAAAAUCGUUGAUUUCAUUGCUAUGUUGGGUGAAUAUCAUCGGUUUGUGUUAAACACGAUACACCCUUUUUAAAAAAAAGAAAAAAAUCGAAAAAAUUCUAAAAUUCUCAUUUUUUUAAAAUUCUCGUGUUUUAAUAGAAUCACGAUUAAAUAUUAAGUUGAAUCGAUUUGGCACUAAUUCGAUGAUUUCAUCUCCAUGUAGGGAUGAAUAUCAUUUAUUCGUGUUAAAUAUGGUACUUCUGAAAAAAAAUCGGGUUUCAAAAAUUUUCGUGUUUUCAAAAAUUCUCAUGUUUCAAAAAUCUUCGUGUUUUAAAAAUUCCAGUGUUUCAAAAAUUUUCGUGUUUUCAAAAAAAAAUUUCUCGUGUUUUUAAAAAUUCCCGUAUAUCGAAAUUUUCUUGUUUUCAAAAAAAAAAUUCCAUGUUUCAUAAAUUUCCGUGUUUUCAAAAAAAAAUUCUUGUUUUUCAAAAAUUUUCGUUUUUAAAAAAUUUGACCGUGUUUCAUAAAUUUUCGUAUUUCAAAAAAACCUCGUGUUUCAAAAUUUUCGGGUUUUUUUAAAAACAAUUCGUGUUUCUAAAAUUCUCGUAUUUUAAAAAAAAUCGUGUUUUCAAAAAAAGAAAAAGUUGUUGUGCUUUAAAAUUAUCGUGUUUCAAUCGGAUCACGAUUAAUAUUAAAUUGAACUCGUAUUUUUGAAAAUGAAAACAACGCGCGUUUAACGAGAUACCAAUUUUGGGCGUCGCGAGGGUGCUAAUACCUUCCUCGCGCGUAACCGACUCCCGAACCUUAAUUUUCUCUGAAUUUUUACGUGGACCUAAAAUUACCUCUUUUUAGAAAAGUUUAAAAAUGAAUUUUUCUUCUAAAAAGAGAAUUUUGUAGGUGUCCGAUCACACCUAAAAAAAGAUCGGUGGCGACUCCUUUUUUUCAAAUAAAAUCGAGAUUCAGUUUUCAAGUUUUUAAUAAUUACUUCGACAAGCGCCCGUGCGCAAAAUUUUUAAGUCGCUACAGCCUCUACUUGAGACAACAGGGUUUUGCAGGGAAUUCUUACAGGUUCGUUUCUGGCGACAAAAAAGAGCUCUUCACUAUAAGCAUACAAACAAGAGCCAAAACUAUGCCUCUUAGUGAUGAUAUUAGGCCUUAUGUUAUUCCUUUUCAACAUCAAACCGUCAACCGGUAUGGUAUGUUUUUUUUAUUUAAUCUGCAAUUUGUGAUAAUUCUUUGUUAUUUAUGUAUGGAAUUUAUUGGGAGGAAAUGCUGGAAAGAAUUCAUUUACGAGAAUUGGUCCAAGAUCAAGGGUGAACAUUACGGACCCUGAAAAAUAAGAGAAAUACUUAACAAAUUUAAUGACUUCCAGAAGAUACGUACCAAUCCACUGCUUAAUUUGCUUGUAAGCGGCCUUGUUAACCUCGAAGGAGACCGAUGGAGCAAGCAUAGAAAAAUCAUAACCCUUGCAUUUCAUCAAGAUAAGUUGAAGGUAUAGAAUAGUAAUGGGUACUCAAGACUUUAAAGAAAACAUCAUACUUAAGCCUAUGCUUUUCUGAUUUAGAAAUAAUUGGAUGCAGAAUAUGUUGCCAGCAUUUUAUCAAAGUUGUAGUGACAUGUUUAAGCAAAUGGGAGAAGAUGGUGUGUACAGAAGGAUACAUUGAGUUAGAUGUGUCGCCUUAUCUCGUAGAUUUGACAAGAGAUGUUAUUUCCCGAUCUGCUUUUGGAAGCAGCUUCGAAGAAGGCAAACGAAUUUUCCAAUUACUAGAGGACCAACUCGUUCUCACAAUCAAAUUAAUACAAACUGUUUACAUUCCAGGAUGGAGGUAACCGUCUACUUUAAUUUACUUGAAAAAGGUUGCAAAUGUUGGAAUUGGCUAAAUUCGUGUUUGUUUUCUUGAAGGUUUUUGCCCACAAAGACAAACAGGGAGGUGAAGAUGAAACACAAAGACAUAAAAGAGUCGCUCAGGGAAAUGAUAAAAAGAAGAAAGCAGGCAAUUAAAGCAGGGGAAGAGAGUAAUGAGGACUUGUUGGACAUACUUGUGGAAUCCAAUAUCAGAGAAAUGGAAGCAAAGAAUAUGGGGAUGAGCAUUGAGGAUGUGAUUGAGGAAUGCAAGCUGUUUUACUUAGCUGGCCAGGAGACCACUUCGGUCUUACUGGUGUGGACUAUGGUUUUAUUAGCAAGGUAUCCCGAUUGGCAAAGUAAAGCAAGAGAGGAGGUUUUGCAUGUUUUGGGUGACAGUAAACCUGAUGCUGAUGGCCUUAAUCGUCUCAAAGUUGUAAGUCCCUAGCAUGUCUCUUGAAGGCCCGAUCUCUGAGGUCGACAACUCAAAAACUUGGUUCUUUGUUUCGCUAAUUCUACAGUUAACAAUGAUAUUGUACGAGGUUCUAAGGCUGUACCCACCAGUGAUUGAGCUAGGACGUUCCGUUCCAAAAGAAAUAAAACUGGGAAAUUUGUUGUUACCAGCAGGAACAGACGUUUCGGUUCCAAUCCUGCAGAUCCACCAUGACAAAGAUCUUUGGGGCGACGCCGCACGGGAAUUUAAGCCACAGCGGUUCACGGAAGGGGUUUCCUAAGCAACAAAGAGUCAAGUCACGUUUCUGCCAUUCGGAUGGGGUCCUAGGAUCUGCAUUGGCCAAAACUUUGCCAUGAUGGAAGCUAAAAUGGCGAUGGCUAUGAUUCUCCAACGCUUCUGGUUUGAGCUUUCCCCUUCCUAUGCUUACUCUCCUUACAACAUGGCAACUCUUCGUCCACAGCAUGGUGCACAGAUAAUUUUACAUAAACUUGGCUGUAAUUGAAUUGUUAUGUAAGCAAAUCUUUGUGAAAAUAUAGUGUUUUAGUGUAUCGUCAACGUCUGUCUGUAAUGGUACAAUUCCGAUGCAUGAAUAGUAAAUUUUGAGAUGUUUGGUGAAGUCCGAAAUAAUAUGCAGAAAUUGAGUGUCUAUGGUGGACAUAGUUGAGGGACUAAUGUGGUAAUUAUCAAUCAAAUAAUUCGGUACAAAGACUUAUAUGGAAAUUAAAGCAGGGGGAGUUGAAAAUGACUACUCUGCUUUGGGCAUCAAUUUAGAAAGAUUUAAAGUACAAAUGUGUUAUUAGUUAAGGGAUUUGUUUUAAAGAGGGAAUGACAAUUAAACCUCAUGGUUGAUUUGUGGAAGGGAACCAAUGAUGGGAUGAUUACUCUUAGUGGUGAAAAAAAAACUAUUAAGGUGGUUAUUAUAGUUGUUAUCACCAGCCUAAAAUUUGAAUAGGUUCAGGUCGGAUUAUAUUGAGCUUGCAAGAUUAGUUCACGGACCAAACUUGCAUGAUAAUAGGUAUUCACAACAAGAUAUCUAUAGUUUCCAACAAAGUCACAUGUGAGAUCGUGCAUUAGAACCGCAUAAACAUGUUUUAUGUUUAGAAUAUGAUAUGUGUCUAUGUGUAUAGAAUCUACCUAAUAUAUCAUAUUAAUGAAUAGUAUCAAUUGCGGAGCCAAAAAAUUAUUUGUGAGGGGUCAGAAUUAAAUUGUAUAUUUUUACAAAAAUAAAAAUUAAAUUUCACUAUUUUAAUAGUUUAUUUAUUUUUAAUUUUUAAAUGAUUAAAUUAAAUUUUAUAAAUUUUUAGGAUCAAAGUAUAAUUUUAUCAUUACUAAUUUAAAAUUUUAUAAAUUAUAAAAAGUUUAUAUGAAAAGUUUUCUAUUUUAGGGUGGCCAAAGCCCCUGUCAACUUCUGACUCGAUCACUUGCGGUUAGUUGGGUAAAGACUCAAGAAAAAUAGCGGUGUGUUUGGAUGGACGGUGCGUUUACUUGCGGUUAGUGUAAAAAUAGCGGUGGCGGUGAGAUUAGAUACUAUAGCAACACUGUAGCGUGAGACAAAAAGUAAGUUAAACGCACUGCACUGCACUUAAUCGUCUAUCUAAACUCACCAUAAGUGUCUAAAAUAUGAUUUAAGUGAAGAUACGUGGGGUAGGUGUCAUGGAAAUGUAAAAAAAAAAAAGAAUCCUACUAAUGUAUGGGAUGUGUACAAUUGAAUGCAGGAGUGAAUCAUUUGGGUAACAUUUGGACAAGAAACAUAAUGAACAAAAUGAAAGGAGAGGAAGCUAGUAAUAAAAGAUUCUUUUGGGUUAUAUAAUUUGUUUGGCAUAUAUUUUUAUAAUAUUUAAAUAUCAUUUUGGAGUUGUUGAAUUAUAAUUUAUUUUUAUGUUUUAAAACAUAAUUAUUCUAUUUUUAGAGGUCAGAGUAGAGGUGAGCAUGAGUCGGGCUACUCGGCUCGGGCUGAAGGCUUGCGCAAAAUGUGAGAGAUUUGGGUAAAAAUAUAGGCCCGAAAAAUGAGUUUAGACAAAAAAAAAUAUAAGGCCCGUUGAAAAAACAGGCUAGGCCUUGGGUAAGGCAUUUUGGCCCCAGACCCGGCCCAACCCAAAUUCACUAAGGGCACGUUUGGUUCGCUGUAUUGGAAUAGAGGCGUAAUGUAAUAGAGGCGUAAUGGAAUAGAGACGUAAUAGCAAAUCAAUUGUUUGGUUGAAUGUAAUGGAAUAGAGGCGUAAUAGUAUUCUUAUAUUUGGUUGAAUGGAAUAGAGUUGUAAUAGCAUAAGGAAAAAAGUUAAAAUGACUAGAAUACCCUUAGCAGAAAUUUGUUUAGAUAAAUGAUUAUUGUUAUUGUUAUUAAAUUUUAAUAAGAUUAUUAAUAUCAGUAAUAAAUAAUUUAAUCAUAUUUUAACAUAAUUAUUAUUAAAUAUAAUUUAAUAAAAAUAUAUAAUUUAAUAAAAUUCUUAAUAUUAAAUAUUCUUAAUAUUAAAUUACUAAAAUCAUAAUAUAUAAUACUAUAAAAUAUAAUUUAACAUAAUUAUUAUUAAAUAUAAUUUAAUAAAAUUCUCAAUAUUAAAUAUAUUCUUAUAUGAAUUUACUAAAAUCAUAAUAUAUAAUACUAUAAAAUAUAAUUUAAAAUAAUUAUUAUUAAAUAUAAUUUAAUAAAAAUAUAUAAUUUAAUCUAAAGUUUGAAUGUGUAUUUACCUAGCAAAAAUCAAUGAACUCUCGUGUAACUAUAACCUUAAUAAUAUAUGAUGUAUAAUUAAUAUUUCGUGACUAAUUAAUAGCAUAGAGAUAAAUAUAGUAAUGACGAAUUUAUAGUAUACGAUUAAAAUGCUAAUAAUUUAUAGUAUACAAUUAAAAUAUUAUAAAUAAAAUAAUAGUAAAUGAUAUAUAAGAUAAAUUAACAUAUAAAUAAUUCAGAUAUGUAAAGGAUAUGGCUGAAUAUGGUUGCUCCAAUAAUAAAGGAUAUAUAAUAUAUCAUGGUGUUGUUUUGUUUAGAUAGUUCGGUAACUUAGGAGGGUAUGUAUGAAGAACACAAGUUGAUGCAGAUAGAAAGACGACAAUAUUACAUGAUUACAAUAUGAUAUAGUAUAUAUAUAUAAUUUAUGGAUUCCUUGCAAUCACGUGGGUUCUCUAGCCAUUUUAUUUAGCAUAUCCAGUGAUAUUAAGAUCCAGAAUUAUAAUACAACUAAAAUCUGUGCACACUUAUGGAUGAUCCAACAAAGCCUCAGUUGGCUUUAGGUUCCAAAUCUUGCAACCCACAAACCAUAUUUGCUGGCACUGCAACAUCAAUCAUCUUAGGAUAUGCCAAGUUAAGAUCUGUUGCACCAACAAAAACAGAGGAGAAAUUGGAAGGCGAUCCGAAAAAACCCAAGGAUGCUUUUUCUUUUCUUUUUUUUUUAUAAUCUUUAUAGACUGGUUAUAUUGAGCAUCAACUUACUUUCCAUGAUGUUUUUGAAAGUCUCUUACAAAAAGGGUAUUCAACAAAUAAUAUAAUCAGACAUAUUGAUAGGACAAAUUGAAACUAGUAUUCUAUGAUCAUAAUAAAGAGUAAUCUUUAAUCAAAUGCGUGAAGGUAUUGAGAUGUCAUGCUUUUUCAUGAUUUCCUGUUUUACCAUGGCGAUGUUCAUUGGAAUAGUCCCAUCCAAGAGAAUCAAACCAAUGCUCAGCAAGAAAUGUUCAAUGCAUAUGUAAUUUUAAUUACAGAAGUUAUAUGCAGCUUAUAUGAGUUCAAGAUCAUAAAAUACUUCAUGGACAAAAGGAAACCCUUUCUUAUCACUGAAAUGAAAAUAGGCACUCUUAAUUUUCUAUUGUCAAAAGUAGCAAGCCAUUUUCCAAAGAAAAGGGAAGAUGGAUGGUUCCAGAAAGAAUACCUCAUCCUUUGUCAAGUGUGGAUUAUAUAGCAUCUCCUCUCCCACAGUGGUUACCUAUAAUCAAUGAGGUUUAUAAAAUCGAGCAAUCAUUUAUAUAUGUAAGAAAUGAUAGGAAUAAAGUUUUAUAUCUUACUGAGAAUCCUUUGUAGUCAUGAGCUGGAUAUAGCAAUGUCUCUUUCGGUAAUGUAAAAAUCUGGAUCCAUGAAACAAAUAAGUCCAUAAAUUUUAUUCAAAUUUUGACAAUUACAAUAAAAUUUUGAGAACUCAAAGAAUGUGACCAUAAAAAGUCCCCUGUCCUUACCUGUGAAUGCACUGACUUGUAGAGUUGCUGUGAACUUCCACCCUGCAAAAUGCAUUAAUCAGUGCUAGUCAAUGGCUACUGAAUGUGGGAGCAUUAGAGAAAAUUAUCUUAAAAACUUAAGUAUAACAAAAUUAGACAAUGACAUCCAGAUGGAAAGAAAUUGCCAGCAUAUAAGACCAGCAUUUAUGUACUCACGACUGAAAAUCCUUUGCAAAAAGUAUAGCCCUGAUAGUUCAAACUUUUACUUCAAGGAUGAUUUAAUUACUGAUUAGUUUGCCAUGAGGCUUGUGAAUGACAAACACUUUAUGUGCAACCACAGUAACAAGGUAAGCACCAAUAAGUAGAAGACUAGACGAAUAGGUAACCAAGAGUUAGAGCUAAAACAGACAAACAGAGCUACUAUCCAAUGAGCUAAAACAUACAAACAGAGGUAUAUUUUAAUAAUGAAAAUAAUCGAUUGCCUUAAACACCAUAUAGUGUUCCAAUCAAUCAAAUUAUAGCAGGCAUUAAAACCUUUCCCUUUCGUUAAUUCACAACUAUUAGCUUCAUUAAUCAAAUCCUAUGUACAGUUGAUCGAUUGAAAGUGUAACAUUUCAAAGACGAAAUUUAAACGCAAAACUGGUUAACAUUGAAAUUACAUGUAAAUAUAACCUAAAAAAUCAAAAAAUUAAUCAUAUUUUCAGAUUUCAGGCCGAAAUGGAAUGAAAUGAAAGGUAAAUCCAUUUUUUCCCCAAAAAAACAAAAAUAAAGAAAUAAUAUUUCAAGAACAGAUCAUUAAAUUCAUGGUAUAUAUAAAGAAAUUUAAUUGAAAUCAAAGGAAUAGAAGAAGGGAAAAGCGUACUUGGAACCAUUGCUGCUACUCUCUGUUACUCUGUUACCUCAUACGAUUCGUUAAAGGGUUGUUAGGGUUUGUUAAAAGGUUGGUCAGGAUAGAAGCAUGAAAAGGAGGGAGAAGGUUGGAAGGAAAUGGGAAGAAAAAUGAAAAAAAGAAGAAGAUGCUGCAACGGCUUGGAGGGUAAAAGAGGACCGAUUAGGUAAUCCUUUCUUUUGGAAGGGAUUACAAAUCGGCGCUGCAUAAGGGAAAAUGGGGAAUCAGUGCGCUGCGUAAUAGGCCCGUAUUAAGGCAAUACAGCCAACCAAACAUGGUAAUCAGUGGGGCCACGAAUUAGGGGUGUAUUGGCUAAUCCAAUACACCCAACCAAACAUGCUCUAAAGGACAAAAAAAUUUGAUUUUUUAAAUAUUAUUUUCUCUCUAUUUUGCUAUCAUUUUACUAUUAUGUUGCUACUAUGUUAUUGUUAUUUUUGAAUAUUGUAUAAAACUUAUUUUAUUGUUAAUUUUGUUAUUAUUUUAAAGACAUUUGUUAAUUUUGUUAUUAUUUUAGAGACAUUUGUUUGUUAAGUUGCAUCUAUCUUAGUGUUAUUUAAGUAUACAUAUUUUUUAAAAUUUAUUUUCAAUUUAUUGGGAAAUAUUUAUUUUGAUGUUUUUAGUAUUUUGGAUGUAUUAUAUAUAUUAAAAUUAUAUAAAAAUUAAUAUGGCCGAGCCAGGUCAGGCCCAGAUUUUAGCAUUUUUAUUCAGGUCGGGCUUGAGCAAAAUUUUAAGCCCAUUUUUUGGGCCAAACCAGGCCUGGGCUUAGCAAAUGGGCCUAAAUUUUUAGUCAAGCUCGACCUAAACCCGAUCCGGCCCAUGCUCACCUCUAGAUCAGAGCUGCCCUCGCUUUGCAUUUCUUUGAGAUUCAGUCUUAUCUACUGUUGAUUGCCCACUCAAUGGAGGGUUGAGUAGAAAGAUUUGGUGAAGCAAGCUAAGCUAUCAAUCAAGGUUGGAGAAAGCUUAGGAGGUCACAAUGCAUAAUUAUUUAAAUGUAAUUCUAAUAUUUAAAUAAAAUUUAUUAAUAUAGUAUUAACAAGCCCUAAAUGUAAUGAUUAUAUACUAUUACAUUUUUAAGAAGAGAAAACAUGUUUGAACCUUAAAAACAUCAUUAUUAAAAAUGAUAAUUACAAAUUUUAAAAUAUAAAAAAUAUAAUUAAAAAUUAAUUUUAAACCCGAGCUGGAUAAAAUUCUAAUUUUAGAUAACGAUACUAAUAAGAAAUCAAUAUUAAAAUGAAAAUGAAAAGUAAUUUAAUAUAAUUUUUGAGUCUUGGGCAAAGGCACUCAAUGAAUGCUUGGAAAGAAAUAAUGCAACUUGGUGAUAGCUUUUGUUGGAGUAAUAUGCUCUUAUUAUAGUUUUAUGUUUUUAUCUUGCAAAAACAACAUAUUGGAGUUUUCGGCAUGAUUUUUUCUUAAUACUUUACAUGAAAAAUAAUAAUGGGACUUAAAUUGCUACAAUAUUACAACACAAAGUUACAAUAAGAGCUUAUAACUCAACAAAGGCUAUCAAUAAAUAAUCUCAGGCAAGCUAAAGAGAAAUGUUGAGAAUACCACCCGAAUAGUGACUGACUUUAAAAGUUGAAAACCCGAAGCUAUAUUAUCUCAAACGAAAUCAAACCAUAAACAUUAAAAUUUUCAAGUCUACUAGUUACUGUAAAAAAUUCAGCUCCAACAGACACCAAAUGAGCCUUUGAUCGAAGAAAGUACGAAAAAUAGUCUAGGUAAACCAAGCUUCCAAACUUACUUAUCUUAUCUUUAAUUUGCAGUGAAAUUCAAAAUUAAGAUUUUGUUUAUUUCACUUGGAACAACUUUCAAAAAAUUAUUUUUGAAAAAUGAAUUGGUUUUUCGAAAUAGAUGAUAUUUUAUUGUGUCAAAAUUUUAUUCAUUGUAGGAAAACUUUUUUUAAAUCAUUUUCUUAGAGUUAUUUUUAGUUAAAUAAACAUAACAUAAAUAUAUUUGUUACAAAAAAUUAUACUAGUAUUUUCUUUUGACAAUUAAAAUUUAUUUUAUGGUAAGACAAUAUUUUAUAAUAAUUAAUAUCAUAUAUAUACGUAAUAAAAAUCAUGUUUAAUUAAAAUUUAAUUAAAAUUAGAUGUAUUAAUAAAGCUACUCCUCCACAACCCGCAUCCGCAACAGCACCAGCACCAGCACCAGCACCAGCAUCAGCACCAUGGGACAACUAUUGGGUUUCCUCCACCUGCCUCUAUCGCUCCUCCUCAGUAUUACCCCCAAGCCUACCAGACCGUGCCGGGUAUUCUACAAAUAUGAAAAAACCUUCUUCUCUUUUUAUUAGCUUAUCGAAAUGAAGGAUUUUGAGAUUUGGGCUUUUGUUAGAUGGAUGGUUAAUGAUAUUUUUUAGAUGAAAGAUACAAGUUUUUUAAUGUUUUAGAAGAAAAGGUGUUUAAAUAUUAGGAGUUUUUUAGCAGAGAAAGAAGAUAAAUAAAUGCAUAGAGAUACAUUAGCAAUAUUAUUUGGAUUUGGUUGUCUAAUGUAAUGAAGAAUUUUUUAAGGGUGACCUGAGUAGGUGUGGCAAGAUUCAAAGUUUUUUCUAUUAUAGCAGAUAUAUAUAUAUUAAUGGUUUAAGAAGACUAGAAGUCGGUUUCAAAGGAAGAUGAGAAAUAAAAGCAUUUAUAUAUAUGAUAUGUCAUUAAUUCAUAAACCAAAUAUAUAAAGUAUGUAAAAGUGUCAGGGGUUAAUCAUGGUGUUUUGACAAUCCGGUAACCUUCAACUUGAAGAAAACCUUAGGUUUCAAAAAUUUAUGUGAAGAGUUAGAAUGGUAUGCUUCAUGGAUCUGAAUAACUAGAACAGUGUAAGAGUGGUAUAUUGUGUCAAGUUUGGUUUCUUGUAUAUAAUUGUAUCGAAAACAAUGUUACAUGAGUUAAAAUGAAUGUUCAUCCAAUUUAACAAAGCCUGCAUUAUGUUGAUCAAAAUUUUUAAUUCAUGUUGAGGUUUCUUCCGUGAUAUCUUUGAUGUCAAGGUUAUGAUGUUGCUGAAGGGACACCUGUAAGAGAUAAGCCACCGUGCUGUGGCAUUGGAUUCGGAUGGUUCUUGUAAGUGUACAUAGUUUUCUUUGUUUUUAAAGAGUUCUUUACAUAUGAAGUAAAACAAGUAGCGACUUGAUGGAUAUGUCAUUAAGCUUUAACUUAAGCAAAUCAUUUUCCUUCAUCUCUAAUUGCCAUUUCUUUAAAAGAAAAAGAGGAAGUUUUGUAGUUUACAGUUUGGACAAAUGGAAGUUAAUAUAAUGCACUAUUUGGAUGGACUAUGGAGAUAUCCAAUCAUAUUGGAUGAGUUAUAAGAAACCUGUGAGUUCAUAUUGGGUUUACUUUAUAUCAUAAUUAGAUUGUUGAGCUGGCUGUCAUACUUAGAUGGUAUUUCACGUUGCUACUUGUUAAACUAUACCACUUUCACAUUCAUACGUGAAAUGGCUGGGAUUUAGUGCCAUUCUACUUAGCAGCCUCGUGUAAUACACAGGUGAAAUGUUUAUGUCUUCAUGUCACCUUAAAGUUCCCAUUUCCAUGACGGUAUUGUUAAGUAAAGACUGGUACAUACCCCAAAAUACGGAAAUUGUUUUGGAUGUAUACUAUACUUUACCAUGCAUGAUUUUUUACAAGUUUGCAUGGUAUUUUAUCAUUAUAUUGGUCUUUAUUUUCUAUACUCGCAGCUUCCAUUAAUAUAUUUUUAUGAAUUUUAUCAUUAUGCUGGUUUGAAGGUUCAUCAUUGGUUUCUUCAUUGGGGGCCAUCCCUGGUAUAUUGGAUUCUUUGUUUUACUUUGUGCAAGGAUAGACGACAGAGAGAAAGCAGGAUAUAUUGCAUGCACAAUUGCCGUGAGUAUCUUUUCUAUCAUUAUUUUUUUCUUUUCCAAUUUUAUGAAAGCCAUCCUUCCUGCCUUGUAUUGAUCAUCAAUUUAACCAUUAUAUAUAUGUAUCUUAUGUAUUUGUACCAUGCUUUAUCUUCAAUGCAAAUAUAAGUUAAACUACAAAGAUUGGAUUGUUAAAAAAAGUUUAAAAUGUUAAAAAAAUUGAAAAUUUUGAUUUUGUAAGAAUGAUAGAAAACCAAGGCCAGUGCUUGCAUAUGUUAUCUACUACAUGCACAAUCGGGUCGAUGUCUGUAUAUGUUUCAUGUUUAGAAAUCGUGUUCAAUUGGGUUACGAUAUGUACAAUUGAAGUGUCAAUUUAUAAUUUCCUUAUCAAGAUUACACAUUUUUUUGUUAAUAUUCGGAAUCACUCAAUGGUUAUAAACCCUGAUUGGAUACUGUCCACAAAGUCUAGUUGGAACAUCCCUUGUAUUCUUUGUCCUUUCUAAGAACUUUCCUUUCCAUCAUUCUCGCUUCUGUUUUUUUUUUCUUCCCUCUACUUUAAGUCAUUAUCUAACGUAGAUAUCCCUUGUAUUCUUUGUCCUUUCUAUGGCAAUCGAGUCAAUUGAUGGCAAGCCAAAAAAACAAAAAGAGCAGCUAUCCUGUCUUACUCGAUUGCCAUCCCUCCUGUUAAACACCAUUAAGAAAAGGAAAAUUUUAGUUAAGCUUUAAAACAGCCAUGUUUUAACGAUGUUGGUGAUGGUGCUUGUGCAGGCCCUUCUUGCUACAAUUACAAUUAUUCUUAGUGCAACAAUUAAAGCUGGUGGGUGAUAAAGCACACCUCUUUUGACUGAGAGAUGUAUAGGUUCCCAAAUAAUAUGUAUAUGCUCCCCCCCCUCCCUUUAUUUUAUUUUAUUUCCAGUAAGUUAUUGUUUAUGAUAAUUUGCAACAAAUGUUUUUGUCAUUAUUUUGUUGGUGAAUGAUAAUAAGAUUAAGCUUUACUUUCUUAAGCUCCAAUUCCUUGGACGUUGGUGAUUUUUUUAUUAUAGUUGAGUCAUUGUAUGGUAUUAAUAUAAUUUAUGUCGCUUAAAAUUUAUAACUAAAAAUAUAAAAUUUAAAUUUUACUUCAAUUUAUUUGUAUUUAUAAAUGGUUAAUUCAAACUUAUUUUUUUCCUCAUUAUAUUUUAUAUUUAAAUUAACAUUUAAACUAUUUUUCAUUAGCAAUGUUGUUAAGAAUUAUAUUUUUUAGCACCAACAUCAAACUUACUAAAAUUAAAUUUUUAACUAUUUAAAAAAAAUAUUUUUAGCUAUUUAUCAUCAUAGAGAAAAAAAGGUGACGUCACCACGCCUCAUGCUUCGACACCACAAACUAGACUCUCAUCACCCGUAUUUAUCAUCGAUUCAAAUUCCAGAACUACCUAAAAAUAUAUCUUCAAACUUCCUCUGGUUAAGUUCAUUGAUAGUCAACUUACUAUCAUUUCUAAAAAAAAAACAAAUAAAUUGGUUAAUAGUAAUCUCAAUGAUUCAAUUUUAUUCUUACCAGUAUCUGUCCUUUAGAAAGGGGCUUAUAAAAGGGGUAGAGGUGAGUAAACUUGAGCUUCAGCUUUCCACAAACACCUUAAUUUGAAGACACAGUUCUCUCAUACUAAAAAAGACAUGGAAGUUUACCUUGUAAUUAGAGAUUUGGUUUCAUUGCUUGUUGUUGGGUUAUUAAUGAUAUGGGGAUGCAGAACUUUAAACUGGGUAUGGCUGGCCCCAAAAAGGCUCGAAAGCUGCUUGAGACAACAGGGUUUUGCAGGGAAUCCUUACAGGUUCCUUUCUGGUGACAUAAAAGAGCUCUCAACUAUGAGCAGACAAACAAGAGCCAAACCUAUGCCUCUUAGUGAUGAUAUUGGGCCUUAUGUUGUUCCUUUUCAACAUCAAACUGCUAACCAGUAUGGUAUGUUUUUUUUGUUUAAUCUGCAAUUUAUGAUAAUUCUUUGUUAUUUAUGUAUGGAAUUUAUUGGGAGGAAAUGCAGGAAAGAAUUCAUUUACGUGGUUUGGUCCAAGACCAAGGGUGAACAUUACGGACCCUGAAAAAAUAAGAGAAAUACUUAACAAAUUUAAUGACUUCCAGAAGAUACAUACCAAUCCACUGCUUAAUUUGCUUGUAAGCGGCCUUGCUAACCUCGACGGAGACCGAUGGAGCAAGCGUAGAAAAAUCAUAAACCCUGCAUUUCAUCAAGAUAAGUUGAAGGUAUAGAAUAGUGAUGGGUAAUCAGACUUUACAGAAAACAUCAUACUUAAACCUAUGCUUUUCUGAUUUAGAAAUAAUUGGAUGCAGAAUAUGUUGCCAGCAUUUUAUCAAAGUUGUAGUGACAUGUUAAGCAAAUGGGAGAAGAUGGUGUGUACAAAAGGAUACAGUGAGUUAGAUGUGUGGCCUUAUCUCGUAGAUUUGACAAGAGAUGUGAUUUCCCGAUCUGCUUUUGGAAGCAGCUUCGAAGAAGGCAAACGAAUUUUCCAAUUACUAGAGGACCAACUCGUUCACAUAAUCAAAUUAAUACAAACUGUUUACAUUCCAGGAUGGAGGUAACCGUCAACUUAAUUUACUUGAAAAAGGUUGCAAAUGUUGGAAUUCGCUAAAUUCGUGUUUGUUUUCUUGAAGGUUUUUGCCAACGAAGACAAACAGGGAGAUGAAGAUGAAACACAGGGACAUAAAAGAGUUGCUUAUGGAAAUGAUAAAGAGAAGGGAGAAGGCAAUUAAAGCAGGGGAAGAGAGCAAUGAGGACUUGUUGGACAUACUUGUGGAAUCCAAUAUCAGAGAAAUGGAAGCAAAGAAUAUUGGGAUGAGCAUUGAGGAUGUGAUUGAGGAAUGCAAGCUGUUUUACUUAGCUGGCCAAGAGACCACUUCGGUCUUACUGGUGUGGACUAUGGUUUUAUUAGCAAGGUAUCCCGAUUGGCAAAGUAAAGCAAGAGAGGAGGUUUUGCAUGUUUUGGGUGACAGUAAACCUGACGCUGAUGGCCUUAAUCGUCUCAAAGUUGUAAGUCCCUAGCAUGUCUUUUGAAGGUCCGAUCAAUGAGGUCGACAACUCAAAAACUUUGUUUCUUUUUUCGCUAAUUCUACAGGUAACAAUGAUAUUGUACGAGGUUCUAAGGCUGUACCCACCGGUGGUUGAGCUAGAACGUUCCGUUCCAAAAGAAAUAAAACUGGGGAAUUUGUUGUUACCAGUAGGAACAGAAGUUUCGGUUCCGAUCCUGCUGAUCCACCAUGACAAAGAUCUUUGGGGCGAUGACGCACGGGAAUUUAAGCCAGAGCGGUUCGCGGAAGGGGUUUCCAAAGCAACAAAGAGUCAAGUCACGUUUCUGCCAUUCGGAUGGGGUCCUAGGAUCUGUAUUGGCCAAAAUUUUGCUAUGAUGGAAGCCAAAAUGGCGAUGGCUAUGAUUCUCCAACGCUUCUGGUUCGAGCUUUCCCCUUCCUAUGCUCACUCUCCUUACGGCAGGGCAACUCUUCGUCCACAGCAUGGUGCACAGAUAAUUUUACAUAAACUUGGCUGUAAUUGAAUUGUUAUGUAAACAAAUCUUUGUGAAAACAUAGCGUUUUAGUUUAUCGUCAAAGUCCGGUGUCUGUAAUGGUACAAAUUCGAUGCAUGAAUAGUAAAGUUUGAGAUGUUUGGUGAAGUCCGAAAUAAUAUGCAGAAAUUGAGUGUGGUAAUUAUCAAUCAAAUAAUUCGGUACAAAGACUUACAUGGAAAUUAAAGCAGGGGGAGUUGAAAAUGACUACUCUGCUUUGGGCAUCAAUUUAGAAAGAUUUAAAGUACAAAUGUGUUAUUAGUUAAGGGAUUUGUUUUAAAGAGGGAAUGACAAUUAAACCUCAUGGUUGAUUUGUGGAAGGGAACCGAUGAUGGGAUGAUUAUUCUUAGUGGUAAAAAAAACUAUUGUGGAGGUUAUUAUACUUGUUAUCAUCGGCUUAAAAUUCGAAUGGGUUCAAGUCGGAUUAUAUCGAGCUUGUAAGAUGAGUUCACGGAUCAAAUUUGCAUAAUAAAAAUACUUAAAUGAAAAAAAUUUCUAUUUUAGAGGGACCAGAGCCCCUACCAAUUCCCGGCUCAGCUACUAAACAAUACCCAUAUCAUAUAAAUAAAUACCACCAUAAAAAAAACUCAAAGAAAAACACUGACAAAUGAUAAAUAGAUAGAUGUUGGAUAAGUGUCCAAAAUAUGAUUUAAGUGAAGAUACAUGGGGUAGGUGUCACGGAAAUGUGAAUACAAGAAUACUACUAAUGGGAUGUGUACAGUUGAAUGUAGGGAGCAAAAAGAGGAGUGAAUCAUUUUGGUAACAUUGGGACAAGAAACAUAAUGAACAAAAUGGAAGGAGAGGAAGCUAGUAAAAGAAAUUUUUUGGGUCAUAUAAUUUGUUUGGCAUAUAUUUUUAUAAUUUUUAAAUAUCAUUUUGGACUUGAAUUAUAAUUUUUUUAUAUAUUAUCUUAAAAUUGUAUAAAUUUUAAGGAGUUAAAACAAAAUUAUUCUAUUUUUAGAUGGUUAAAGUAGAGAUGAUAAUGGGUUGAGCUAUUCGGCCCAGCCUGACGAUCCACCCGAAAAAUAGGAAGGUUUGGGUAAAAAUAUAGGCUUGAAAUAUGAAUUUGAGCAAAAAAAGAGGCCCGUUUAGAAAAUGGGCCGAGCCUCGGGUAAAACCUUUUGGGUCUAGACCUGACCUAAAUUAUAUAUUAAAUAUAUAUAUUUUUAUUUUUAAUCAAAUAUACUUUUGUUUUAUUAUUAAUUUGGUUAUUAUUUUAGUUCUAAUUUGUUUCAAUUUUAAUAUAACUACUUUUUAUUAUAUUUUCAAUUUGUGCAUUGUUUUAAGAAUUAUUUUAGUCUCAUUAUUUAUUUAUUUUUUAUUUUAAUAUUUGUUUUAAAAUUUUUUAUUUAUUGAAAUAAGCUAAAAAAAUUAAUAUGGGUUGGACCAGACCGGGCUCGGGCCUAGUAAUUUUCUUUUGGGCCGGACUUAAACAAAUUUUUAAGCCCAUAUUUUGAAUUGGGUCCUACACUAGAAAAUGGACCUAAAAUUUUGUAUUACCUUUAGGUCAGAGCUAUCCUCGUUUUGCAUUUCUUUGAGAUUCAGCCUUAUUUACUUUUGAUUGCCCACUCAAUAGAGGGUUGAGUAGAAAUAUUUGGUGAAGCAAGCUAAGCUAUCAAUCAAGGUGUGCAUAAUUAUUUAAAUGUAAUUCUAAUAUUAAAAUAAAAUUUUUAUUAAUAUAGUAUCAACAAGCAUUAAAUGUAAUCAUCAUAUACUAUUAAAUUUUCAAUAAGAGAAAACAAGCUUGAACUUUAAAAACGAUGUUACUAAAAACAUUAUCACAAAUCUUGAAAUAUAAAAAAUACUUUUUAAUAUAAUAAAAAAAUAAUUUUAAAACCGAGAUGAAUAAAAUUCUAAUUUUAAUUAAUGAUACCAACAACAAAUCAAUAUUUAAAUUAAAAUUUAUCUUAAUUUAAUAUAAUAAAAUUGGACUUGAAUAUUGAAUUUUUGAGUCUUGGGCAAAGUAGAGGUGCUCAUGGGCCGGGUUGGGUCGGGUUUGGGAAAAAUUUCGGCCCGCAUCCUAGGCUCGGGCUCGGCCCGACCCAAAUAUGGGCCUAAAAUUUUGUCUAGGCCUAGCCCGGCCCGGCCCAACUCAUUUUUUUUAAUAAACACCAAAAAUUUAUUUUGAAAAUAAAAAAAUAAAAAAAGUAUUUUAAAAAUAUUUUAAAAUUUUUAAAAAAUAUAUAUAUUUAUUAUAUAUUCGGGCCGGGCCAGGCCCGAGCCAAAAAAGUGGCGCCCAAGGCCCGGCCUGUUUUCUAAACGGGACUCAUUUUUUACCCAAACCCAUAUUUCGGGCCUAUAUUUCUACCCGAAUCUCUCAUAUUUAGGGCGAACCGUCGGGCCGGACCGGGCCGCCCGGCCAUGAACACCUCUAGGACAAAGUCACUCAAUGAAUGCAUGGAAAGAAAUAAUGCAACUUGGUGAUAGCUUUUGUUGGAGUUAUAUGCUUUUUUUUUACGUAGUGGAACUUUCGGUGGAUUUUCAAGUUUCAUGAACUUUAUACUCUAUGCUUUACGUGAAAAAAAAAAUUCAUUGGACUUAAAAGUCUACCAAAAGUUUCACUAAAAAAAAAACCAUUGCUACAAGAUUACAACAUAAAGUUACAAUAAGAGCUUAUAACUCAACAAAGGCUAUCAAUAAAUAAUCUCAAACAAAUUAAAGAGAAAUGUUGAGAGUACCACUCGAAUAGUGAUUAACUUUAAAAAUUGAAAACCCAAAGUUAUAAUAUCCCAAACGAAAUCAAACCAUAAACAUUAAAUUUUUCGAGUCUACUAGAUACUGCAAAAAAUUCAGCUCCAACAGACACCAAAUGAACCUAUGAUCGAAGAAAAUACGAAAACUAGUCUAGCUAAAUCAAGCUGCCAAACUUACUUUUUAUCUUAUCUUUAAUUUGCUGUGAAAUUCAAAACUAAGGUUUUGUACUUAGAACAACUUUCAAAAAGUUAAUUUUGAAAAAUGGAUUGAAUUUUCAAAAUAGAUGAUAUUUUAUUGUGUUAAAAUUUUAUUCGUUGUUUGAAAAAAAAUUUAAAUCAUUUUCUUAGAAUUAUUUUUAGUGAAACAAACAUAUCAUAAAUAUAUUUGUUAUAAAAUAUUUAUAUUAAUAUUUUCUUUUAACAAUUAAAAUAUAUUUUGUGAUAAGGUAUAUUUUAUAAUAAUUAAUAUCAUAUAUACUUAAUAAUAAAUCAUGUCUAAUUAAAAUUUAAUUUCAAUUAAAUAUAUUAAUAAAGCUACAUAUAAUCAUAUUUUAUAUAAUAAAAAUAUUAAUAUAAAUAUUUUUUUAAUAAUAUAUUAAAGAAUAUUUAAAAUUUAAAUUUAUUAUUACUAAGAUUAAUUAUUAAAAUAAAAAUGUAAUGUUAAAUAAUUUAUCCAAUGAUAAGUUAUAUUAAUAAUUUAUUAUAUUAUUAAAUAUAAAUAAUUAAAUAUGUAUGUUUAAUAAUAUUAUGUUAUAAUAUUUAUUAUUAAUAUUUUAAUAUUUUUAAACAACCAUGUUUUAAAGAUGGUGGUGAUGGUGAUGGUGCAGGCCCCCUUGUUACAAUUACAAUAUUUUUAAGUGGGAUGCAUGUAAUAUAUUGUUAGGGUUUUAGAGUGUGUGGUCUUUAAAAGGGUUAAAUUAUAUAUUUAUAUAAUAUGAUUAUUGUUUAUAAAUAUAAUAUUGUAGAUAAACUUUUAUGCAUGUCAAUAUGUAUCCUACUCUGGGGUUAAUAUGUAUUUUUAGAUAUGGAUUCACCUAUAUAAUAGUAUGAAUCCAUCAUGCGGUCUCAUGAAAUAUACAAACACAUAUCGUGCGAACACAAAGUACGAACAAUAAAAAGUACAAAUCAAGACCAAUUGAGUAAUUGAAUAGCAGAUAGGUAAUAAUGACUAUCCCCUCUUGUUUGAAUUUAUUUUAUUUCCAGUGAGUUAUCGUUUAUGAUAAAUUUACAACAAAUGUUUUUAUCAUUAUUUUGUUGGUAAAUGAUAAUAAGAUUAAACUUUACUUUCUUAAGCUCCUUCAAUUCUUUGGACGUUAGCAAGUAAACUUGAGCUUCAGCAUUCCACAAACACCUUAAUUUGAAGACACAGUUCUCCCAUACUAAAAACAACAUGGACGUUUACCUUGUAAUUAGAGAUUUGGGCUCAUUGUUAGGUUAUUAAUGAUACGGGGAUGGAGAGCUUUAAACUGGGUAUGGCUGGCCCCAAAGAGGCUCGAAACGUGCUUGAGACUAGAGGUCCAGGCAAAUUUUUAGGCCCAUUUUUUAGGCCUGGACUGGGCCCGACUCGAAAUAUGAGCUUAAAAAUUUGUCUAAGUUCGGUCCAAAAGAAAAUUGUUAAGCCUAAGCCCGGCCCAUAUUAAAUUUUACAACACCAAAAAACUAUAUAUUUAAUAUAUAUAUUUGAUUAAAAAGUAUAUUUAAUUAAAAAUAAAAAUAUAUAUUUAAUAUAUAAUUCGGGCCGGGCCGAACUCGGGCCAAAAAAGUUUUACUCGGGGCUGGUCCGUUUUCUAAACAGACCUCGUUUUUUUGUCAAAAUCCAUAUUUUAGGCUUAUAUUUUUACCCGAAACUUCCUAUUUUUCGGGUGAACCGUCAGGCCGGACUAGGUAGCCCAACCAAUGAUCACCUCUACUUGAGACAACAGGGUUUUGCAGGGAAUUCUUACAGGUUCGUUUCUGGCGACAUAAAAGAGCUCUUCACUAUAAGCAUACAAACAAGAGCCAAACCUAUGCCUCUUAGUGAUGAUAUUGGGCCUUAUGUUGUUCCUUUUCAACAUCAAACCGUCAAUCAGUAUGGUAUGUUUUUUAAUUUAAUCUGCAAUUUAUGAUAAUUCUUUGCUAUUUAUG
rnacentral:lncRNA from 1 species